UGUGCUCAUGUAGUAUGGGAAUUUUAUAGCUAUGCUUCAUGGCAACACAAGAAUCAGGGGAAAAAUUACUCGACGCAUGAUUUGGAGCUUGAAGCAGUUGUGUUUUCUUUAAAAAUAUGGUUGCAUUACCUUUAUGGGGUCCAUGUGGAUGUGCCACAAGAGUCUGAAAUAUUUGUUCAAGCAGAAGGACUUAAACUUGAGGCAGCGGCGGUGGUUAGAAUUUCUUAAAGACUACUAUAUGAUCAUCUUUUACCAUCCAGGAAAGGCAAAUGUGGUGGCCGACGCCCUUAGUUGGAAAUCCAUGGGUAGUUUGGCUCACUUGGGAGCGGAUCAGAGGCUCAUAGCUCGAGAGGUUAUCAAUUGGCCAGUCUUGGGGUUUGUAUCUCGACCCCUAAUGAGGAGGAAAUUAUGGUGCACAACAUAGAAGAGUCGUCGCUUGUGAAGUCAAGGAAAAGAAGUUCAUUGCUUCAGCAUUGGCACAAAUGAAGGAGGCAGUUCGGAUUAACAAGAUUUCAGCAUUUUCACUCUGUGGCAAUGAUGGUGUGUUGCAAUGUCAAGGCAAGUUAUGUGUUCCAAAUAUAGAUAAUCUUCGGAAGAGGGUAAUAGAAGAGGCUCAUCAUUCCUGGUAUUCGGUGCACCCAUGUUCUACGAAAUGUAUCACGAUCUCAAGAAAAUUUAUUGGUAGAGUGGUAUGAAGAGGGAUGUGGCAGACUUUGUAUCUAAAUAUUCGAAUUGUCAACAAGUAAAGGCCAAACAUCAGCGGCCCGGUGGGUUAACCCAUCUUAUGGAAAUACCAACGCGGAAAUGGGAGAUGAUCAAUAUGGAUUUCAUGGCAGGACUACCUCGCACUCAGCGCAAGUUCAACUCUAUUUGGUUGAUAGUGGAUCGACUCACCAAAUUAGCUCACUUCUAGCCAGUCAAGUCCACCGGUACUGCAGAUUAAUAUGCUCGAUUGUCUAUCAAAGAAAUAGUGAGGCUUCAUGGUACUCCACUUUCUAUUAUUUCGGAUCGAGGGGCUCAGGUCAAAGCUAACUUUUGGAAGAAAUUUCAGCAAGGUUUGGGUACUCAGGUGAACCUCAGCACGACUUUCAUGGCAGGACUACCUCGCACUCAGUGUAAGUUUGACUCAAUUUCGGUGUUAGUGUAUCGACUCACCAAAUCAGCUUACUUCUUGCCAGUCAAGUCCACCGAUACUGCAGAACAAUAUGCUCAAUUGUAUAUCAAUGAAAUAAUGAGACUUCAUGGUACUCCGCUUUCUAUUAUUUUGGAUUGAGGGUCUCAGUUUAACUAACUUUUGGAAGAAAUUUCAGCAAGGUUUGGGUACUCAGGUGAACCUCAGCAUGACUUUUCAUUCGCAUACCGAUGGUCAAGCAGAGCGGACUAUUCACACGCUUGAAGAUAUGUUUCGGGCUUGUGUCUUGGAUUUCAAAGGUAAUUGGGAUGAUUAUUUCCCCCUUAUAGAAUUUGCUUACAAUAACAGCUUCCAUGCUAGCAUCCAGAUGGCCCCGUUUGAGGCAUUGUAUAAGAGGAGAUGUAGGUCCCCGAUCGGAUGGUUCGAAGUAGGUGAAGCGGAAUUGAUAGGGCCGUAUCACGUUCACCAGGCCAUGGAAAAAUUUAAAGUCAUUCAAGAAAGGAUGAAGACUGUGCAGAGUCACCAAAAUUCAAAUGCAGACGUGCGUCGAAGAGAAUUAAAGUUCUAAGAGGGUGAUUGGGUAUUCUUGCAGGUAUCUUCUAUGAAGGGAGUCAUGCGAUUGGGGAAGAAAGGGAAGCUAAUUCCUUGAUAUGUCGGGCCUUAUCGGAUCACUCAAAGGAUCGGACAAGUUGCUUAUAGGCUGGAGUUACCCCCUGAAAUGUCCUUAGUGCACCCGGUGCUCCAUGUGUCCAUGUUAAGGAAAGUGGUUGGGGAUUCGUCCACCAUCGUGCCAGUUGAAGACAUCAAGGUUACUAAAGAAUUAUCAUAUGAAGAGAUUCCGAUUGCUAUUCUUGAUAGACAAGUCCGUAAAUUAGAAAAAUAAGGAGAUCUCGUCGGCUAAAGUGUUGUGGCGAAAUCAACAAAUUGAACAAGCCAUGUGGGAUGUAGAAGAUGCGAUGAAAGUAAAAUAGUCAUAUUUGUUUGAACAAGUCUAGGAGUGGUCAUGUAAGUUCUUUCCCCUAAGCGAAUUAGCAUUGUGUCCCAUUUGGUGAAAAAGUUUCAUAAAUGCUUUAUUAUUGUGAUUCUCCGAGUUGUGCCAAAAAAUUUUGUGUGUCAUGAUUGUUUGGGCCAUAUGCAAUUGUUAUCGGUAAAUUAAAGUUUUGUGCUUUUCUGGUAGGUAAUUGGACUACGGAAAUGUAAGUGUAAAAUAGUAUUGAAAUGAUUAACUGUGUCGCACUCCUUAAGGAAAUAAAAUAUGUUCAAAAGGGUGUCAAACAAUUAAAUGUGCGCAUGUGUAUGGGUAAUGAAUUGGACUAUAGGCAACCCUUCUUGUUAAAUGGAAGUAUCAUACUCUUGUGAUAAGUAAAUGGCUUAUGAUAGUGCAGACGAUUAAUGCUUAAUUUGUUUGCGUAUAGUGUAACAAAAUGGUUAAGAGUGUGUCGAACUCCUUAAGGUAACCAACUAUAUGCAAAAGUGUAUUGAGAAAUUGAAUAUGUACAAGUGUGAAGGUAAUGAAUUGUAUACCAGUUAUAGGGGUAGCAAGACUUGUGUAAUGGUGCUUGGAAAUAUGUUUUAUGAACUCUCUGACAGGUAGAUAUGUCCAUAUUACAAAGGAAACUUUGGCGAAUUUUUUUUUCUAAAAUAUGAGAGUUAGUGAAAACUUAAGAGCUUGCAUAUCAUGUUUUCAAACCAUUUGAUUUCAAAGUUCUCAUUUGAGGACAAAUGAUCUUAAGUGGAGGAGGAUGUAAGACCCCGUGAAAAUGAGUGCUCAAAUCCUAGCAACUCAUAGAGUCAGGAUCACCUAUGUGUUGGGACCCUUUUUACUGAUUUAUACUUAAAAAUCUAGAGUUAAAGUUUUCUCGAAAAAUAUUAUUUUUGCGGUCAAGAAUGUGGUCACAUAUCAGGUAUGCGUGCCGCAUCUCUACCGCAGAGUUAAUCAGAUAGUUAGUUAAAUUUGAUGUUAAAAUAUGGUCCAUUUUGCGAUCGCAUAACCAAUAUGCGUACCGCAUAGUUGUCGCAUAAAUUCUCGAGGAUUUGAUAAGGUCAGUUCUGCGGUGCAACAUGCCACCGCAGAACAGGAAUGCAGACCACAUUCCCACCGCAUACCCAAGCCAAAAGGCCAACAAUUUGGGACCCUUCUGUGAUCCAAUCUGCAGACUGCAUAUCAACUCUGCGAUCGCAGAGUGCGACCGCAGAUCCUGCACGGGCUUUAAUUUUCUAAAAUUUUAAACCCGACCCCUUUUCUAAUAAAACACCCCAACCCCUCAUUUUUGCAUAUUUUCUGAAGAAAAUAAGAGAGAGGGAAGAGAGAUUUCUUGAGAGAGAAAGGGUUCUUCAUCUAAUUGAUUCUCCAAAACUAUCCGGGCCGGGAAAUUCUAAUUAACUAUCUUCAUCCCCACUCUUACAGGUAAAAUCCCUAACCCUUUUCUCCAAUUUUCAGGUUUAAACUAAGGGACAGAGUCUCAUGCUUUGAUUUUUGAAAUAAUGGGUGGAAACACACAUGCUUGUCUUUCAAAACCAAAAAUCUAGUAAGGGGAAUUGGGUAGAAGUAAAGAACUGUGCUUGACAACCUAAAUAAGCCAGGUAGUAAUUGUGAUCUUCAAUUCUAAGGUACAUGUAUUUAUUUGUAAAUUCGAUUGACAUGGCUAGAUUGCUCAGUGACUGAGAAUAAGAGUUUAAAAAAGGAAUUCCCCCCAGGUAUGUAUGGCUAACUUGACCCUUUUGAAAUCGCCUUGCUUGGUGUGUGAAUUGUUUGGUAGUUGAUACGUAUGUGGGUUGUUUGUUGCUUCUUGUGACUGGUAUGAUUGCAAAUGCAUCUUGUGGUAAUAUUCUAGGAAUAAGUGAUUAAAGGGAUUCAUAAAUAGUGAAAUCAGAUCAACCGUGGUAACAAUGUACUUGAAUUGUUGUGGUAACUUGAAUUGCAUAUGAACUGUCGAAUAUGAUGGAAAUGGUACUGUUGGCUAUGGAAAUACUUGUAACACUGUUGUGGCUGUGUCUUGAGAAGAAUUGUUAUUUCUCUUCUUAUGAGUUUGUUGAUUGUUGUUGUGGUUUUUGUGAUUUGUAAAUUGCGCAGCAGGAAUGGCUUCCACGCUACAACCCGAAGGUAUAAGGUGGGGUUGGUGCGAUAAGGGUGGUCGAGGUAAUAAAGGUGGAAAAGUGAUCGAAAUCACUGUUUAAAUAAAUACUCGAGUAAACUUGUGAAAUCAAUGUUGUGGAAAUUGUGGAAUGGGGAAAACAGGAGAGUGUGCAAACUUGUUUGGCUUGAUUGUACUUUUCAUGUGUGUUUGGUUGUUGCUUCUAUUGCUGUUUUCUACUAGCAGACGGCUUGAGUUUACUUAGGACAACUUUUAUUUAUACAUACCAGUAUAAUUCAAAUGUGUUGACAUCACUUUUGUCGUGGGCUAUACAUUCGUGUUAUGAUUGUAGGUGGAUCUAUAGCAUGUACUCCAAUCCGCCGUUAGUAGCUCUUCCUCAUUCCCUGUCAGCUGUAUUACUGAGCCCUUUUCCUUUCAGGGCCCUGCGUGGCUCAUGCAGCCUCUGUUCUUGUAUUUUAAGAUCUUAUUUUGGUGUGUGUAAGAGGUAUAGCCGGAGCCUUCUUACCGUCAAUUAUUGUACUAUCAUCUUUCAUCCUUAGAGGCUCUGUAGAUAGGAAAUGUGGGUCAUGAACUUAUGUAGUACGUGCUUCGUAUAUUGGGCUUUGUAAAUUGUAAACCACGCUAAUAUCAUCUAUGUUAUGUAUGCUUUUGUAAAAUGCAUGUCAAUUAUAAAUAGUUGUUCCACUCGGUUAAUAAGUAGGGGAAAGUGUGGGAUAGUACGUGGGCUAGGAGAGGCACCUAGGUCCGCUCGACUGGGGAUACCCGGUUGAGUGCCGUUCAUGUCCCUCGGAUUUGGCGCGUGACAUAAGCUAGACAACUAGCAUAAACGAGAUUUCACGGGUUACCUCUUAGAGUUGACUUCUAUAGUUCAUGCCUUGAAGAUUUGGAGGCACUAUUUACAUGGGGUAUCCUAUGAGGUGUUCACCGAUCAUCGCAGUCUCCAACACUUGUUCAAGCAGAAAGAUCUUAAUUUGAGGCAGUGGAGGUGGCUUGAGUUACUUAAGGAUUAUGAUAUCACCAUUUUGUAUCAUCCGGGAAAGGCCAAUGUAGUAGCCGAUGCUUUGAGCCAAAAGGUAGUUAGUAUGGGGAGUUUGGCCUAUAUCCCAGUUGGGGAGAGACCCCUUGCAGUAGAUGUUCAGACUUCGUCCAAUCGGUUGGUGCGGUUAGAUAUUUCGGAGCUUGGCCGAGUGUUGGCGAGCGUGGUUUCUCGGCCUUCCUUGUAUGAUCACAUCAGAGAGUGCCAGUAUGAUGAUCUGCAUUUGCUUGUCCUUAAUGACAGGGUUCAGCACGGAGAUUCUAGAGAUGUGACUAUGGAUGACGAUGGUGUGUUGAGGAUGCAGGACUGGAUUUGCGUGCCCAACGUGGAUGGGCUCAGAGAUUUGAUGCUUGAGGAGGCCUACAGUUUGCGGUAUUCCAUCCAUCCGGGUGUCGCAAAGAUAUACCCGGACUUGAGACAACAUUAUUGGUGGAGGAGAAUAAAGAAGGACAUUGUGGGAUUUGUGGCUCGGUGUCUCAAUUGUCAGCAGGUAAAAUAUGAGCAUCAGAGGCCGGGCGGUUUUCUUCAGCAGAUGGUUUUUCCUGAGUGAAAAUGGGAGAGAGUUACUAUAGAUUUAGUGAGUGGUCGUUCUCGGACUUUUGAAAAAGUUUGAUUCGAUUUGGGUCGUUGUGGAUCGACUGACCAAGUCUGUGCAUUUCAUUCUAGUGUGUACCAUAUAUUCUUUAGAGCGGCUGGCAGAGAUCUUUAUUUGUGAGGUUGUCUGAUUGCAUAGUGUUCCAGUUUCUAUUAUAUCAAAUAGAGGUGCUCAGUUCACUUCUCGGUUUUGGAGGACGUUUUAGCACGAGUUGGGUACUCAGGUGGAGCUGAUUUCAACAUUUCAUCCUCAAACGGAUGGUCAGUCCGAGCGUACUAUUCAGAUAUUGGAGGAUAUGUUGCGUGCCUCUGUGAUUGAUUUUGGAGGUUCUUGGGAUGAGUUUUUUCCACUUGCAGAGUUCGCCUACAACAAUCGCUAUCAGUCUAGCAUUUGAAUAGAGUCGUAUGAGGCCUUAUGAGGGAGAUAGUGUAGAUCUCUGGUCUGUUAUUUGAGCCCAGCAAAGCUAGGUUGUUAGGGUAAGAUUUGGUCCAGGAUGCCUUAGAGAUGGUGAAGUUGAUCCAAGAGAGACUUCGUAAAUCUCAGUCGCGUCAAAAAAGUUAUGCGGAACGGAAGAUUCGAGAUAUAUCUUACUCGGUGGGAGAGUAGGUCUUGCUGAAGUUUCCACCCAUGAAGGGUGUGAUGAGGUUCAGAAAGAAAGGGAAGCUGAGUCUGCAGUUCAUCGGACCUUUUGAGGUGCUUAAGAGGAUUGGGGAAGUGGAUUAUAUGCUUGCUUUGCCACCCAGCUUGUCCGGCGUUCAUCUGGUGUUUCAUGUGUUUAUGCUCCGGAAGUAUGUUGGGGACCCAUCUCAUGUCUUGGACUUCAGCAUAGUUAGGUUGGAUGAGGAUCUGACUUAUGAUGUCGAGCCAAUGGCUAUUUUGGAUCGACAGGUUCGGAAAUUGAGAUCAAAGGAUAUAGCUUCGGUGAAGGUAUAGUGGAGAGGUCGGCCUGUGGAGGAAGCCACUUGGGAGACCGAGCACGAGAUGCGGAGCAGAUACCUGUGCCUAUUUGAGACUUCAAGUAUGUUUCUUGACCCGCUCAAGGACGAGCGUUUGUUUUAGUUUGGGAGGAUGUGAUGAUCCGACCCAUUAUCUCUUGUAUUUCCGUCUGAUUUUCCCCGUUAAAUACUUCUACAUGUUUCAUUUUAUGUGUUUGGUGAAAUUGAAGUAAUCCGGAUAGAGUUUUGUUGGAAAUGAGACAAUCAUUCUCUUUAAGGAAGGCUUGGUUUGGAAAAGUCAACCUAAUGCUUACUUGUGAGUUAGAGGGCUCAAAAUGAAUUUAUGAUGAUUCAGUUAGCUUCAAGGGAUGAUUUUAGGCUUAGGAGACAAAUCGUAAGUAAUUUUGGAGGAUCGGUGUAGAAUUAGGCUUGAAUUGGCCAAGUUAGCAUUUUGGCAAUAUCCAGUUAAUAGGUGAGAUUUUGAUCCAAGGGUCGGAAUGGAAUUCCGAGCAUUGCAGUAGCUUCCUUAGGUGAUUUCGGAUGUGUGUGCAAAAUUUCAGUUCAUUCAGAGGUGUAUAGGUGGGUUUUUGAUCAAAUGCAAGUUUCGAAAGUUUUAAUUUAUCUUAGGCUUGAAUCCGUUAUAAUUUGAUGAUUCUUGUGAUGUUGGAUGUGUUAUUAUGAUUGGAAAAAGAUUGAAUGAGGUUGUAGGAUGUGCUGGUUCUUUUGGUUGAGGUCUCGAGAGCCUCGGGUGAGUUUCGGAUGGUUGACCGGACCAUUUUUGUUCCUUAAAAGAUAGCAGAAAUUGCAGGCUUCAGUUGCAAGUAUAUUUAUUCAUUGCGAUUGCAUAAGUACUAUUGCAAUCCCGUAGAUCUUUCUGAGGGCAGGGCAUUUUUGUUCAAUGCGAUCGCGGGGGUGAUGUUGCGAUCGCAUAAGAGGAUUUGAGGGCCCAGUGGUUUUGUGCAUUGCAUUCGUGUCUGUAGGAGAGCGUUCACGUAGGUCUGGCUAGUGAAGCUAUGCGAUCGCAGUAAGAGGGUCGUGUUCGCAUAGGCCAUUUUGGAGGCUAGGGAAUUUUUUGCUAUGCGAUCGCAGGGGUUCGGAUGCGAUCGCAUAGAGUAACGUUGAGCUGGGCAGAAAGGUUUUAAUAACAUUUCAUCCGUGAACCAAAUCUAUUUUUCACCAUUGUUAAGCAACCUUGGGAGCUUUUGAUGAGGAAUUUAGAGGGUUUUGACUGAUUAGAGGUAAGUCCUAGGGCCUAGAAAUGCCAUCUAAUAGUGAUUUCAACACCUAAAUUCAUGGAAUUUGAGUAAAAAGGAAGAACUAGGGCUUGUGUUUUCUUAAUGAAAAAUUGGAUUUUGAGGGAGCAUUUGGACUUCGAUUUUGAUGAAUUUUAUAUGUAUAGACUCAUGUCGAGAUAAGGAACAUUUUGGUGUAAAACAUUUUCGCUUUUGAGAUGUGGGCCCGGGGCUCGGGUUUUGCAAAUUUUGUGAUUUUCGAUAUUUUUCUAGUAUUUUGAUUGGGAUAUAUUCCCUUAACCUAUUGUAAUAUAUUCGUUGUGGUUUUGGCCAGAUUCAACGCGCUAGGAGGUCGAUUUGAGAGGCAAGAGAAUUGCUAGCUAGUUUUCGGCCGGCUAGAGGUGAAUAAUUGAUGUAAUUGCUGCUCUGAGGGUUCGAAACAUCAUACUUUCACAUUGUAACACUAUAUUGAGGCGUGACACACAUUCCACGAUAUGUGUGGAGUCUUAUACUGUUGGGGAUUGAGACUUAAUUCAUCCCGAGUGUUAAUCUCUACUGUAUUGGCGACGGAAACGCAUACCUUGUUAUUGUGAAUUGGGCUUAUUACCAUGUUUGGGGCCUUGUGUCGACUUGUAGUAUCCUUAUGGGAUUUCUAUAUGUUUUCCUCACUUGUGUGCAUAACAUAAUUUCUCCGUCAUGUUUUCAACUAUUAAAAAACAAUAUAAUAAGUGUGUUUUAUACAUGAACAUUAAAUGAAAAGGAUAUGAGGGCUGAGAUCCUUGUAGUAUGUCCCGCCCGAUUGGCUAUGGACUAUUUGACUGAGAUGGGUCGGGGACCCAGUGGUGAGGAUUUUUCCUUGAUAUGUAUUAGGCUACACGCUGUUGUGAUUAUUAUAUAUUGAUUUCAAGGCCGAGAGCCUUCUUUAUGCCAGUACCUGGCUGAUAUUACGCUUAGGUUGUAGGAGCCCCUACGGAGUCUGUACACACCCCUAGUGAGCGCCAUCGAUGUUAAAUAAGUGGAGCGGGCAGCACGCCGCAACGGGUACUAGAGUGUACCGUUAUAUGUGUUACAUUCUGUCAUGCAUUAUUUCUUAACUGUAUUAUUUGUGGUAUACUGUUUCCAAUAUUUUGGAUAUGAACUGCUAGAUAUAGAGUACUUUGUGCAUUUCCUGCGUUUUCUUAUCUUCAGAAUUUAGUUAUGUCUAUUACCACUGAGUUGGAAGUACUCACUUUACUCCCUGCCCCUUGUGUGCAGAUCCAGGGCAGUCUCAGGCAGAGUGAUUCCGGCUGGUCUAGAUUUCUUUCCCGGGAGUAAUUAAGGUAGUUGCAGGGUAUUCACAGUCGAUGAUUCUCCCUUCUAUAUUUAUCCUUUAUUUCUGCAUUAUCAGUGUUAGACAGACUUUGUAGUAGGAUAGUAUUCUGUUAUUAGAGGCUCAUGGUUGUGACACCGGGUCAUAGUUGGGCUAUUUCGGUAUUUUGUUAGAUUUUUCAUAUUUUUAUCAGUAUUCCAGACUUUGACUUAAAUAGCUUUAUCUUUACUUGUCGUAAUAAUUAGGGUAAUUGUUAUAAAUGAUCGGGCUUGGCUAGAAGUGUGAUGGGCGCCAUCAUGAUCGGGUUGGUGUCAUGACAAUUAAUGUUUAAAUUUGUCAUUUAUUAACAAUACCUAUAUUUUCAUAUUCAUAUUUAAUUAAGAUAGAGGCGUUGUUUUUAUCUUUCAAUGUAAAUUUUUUAAAUCAUAUUAAUUAAGAUAGGACAGACAAUAUCUUUACAAAAAUAUUCACUUUCUUUUAUGAUGACCUAAACGGUCAUCACCUAUUUUCUUACAUAUUCUUUGCUUCCGAAGCCUUGAAAAUCUCAUUUUUAGUCACCAUGUUUUGCGUGCCCAUUCCAGACGCGUAGCCGAAAAGCUUAAAUAUGAAAUUCUGUGAAAAAUGCUAAAAAUUUGAUAUUAAAAUUAGUAAAUUUGACUUCGGUCAAAAUUUUGGGUAAACGGAUCUGAAUCCAUGAUUUGAUGGUCCCGGAGGGUCCGUAGAAAAACAUAGGACUCGGGCAUAUGCCUGGAAUCGAAAUUCGAGGUCCCGAGCCCGAGAAAUAAAUUUUUAAAAGAAAUUAUUUCUCUAAAAUUAUUAAGGAAAAUUGAAAUAAAAAUUGAUUAGAACGUGUUGGUAUCGGACCCGUAUUUUGGUUCCGAUGCCCGUUAUAGGUCUUAUAUGUGGUUUAAGAUAUUUCUAUGAAGUUUGGUUGAAAUCGAACUUUCUGACUUAAAACUCCAAAUUUGAAUGUUUAUGAAGUUUGAUGAAAAACUAUUGAUUUUGAGGCUUGAUUCGUUGUUUUUUAUGUUAUUUUGGCGAUUUGAUCACACAUUUAUGUUUGUAGGAUAUUGUUGAGUUAAUUGGUUAGGAGCACGAGGGCUCGGGAGUAUGUCAAAGGUGUUUCGAAGUGAUUUCGGACUUAGGAAAGUUGAAGAAAAAUUGGCUUCAGCUGUUGCAAGCAAUUUCUUCUUCGUGUUCGCGAUGUUUCUUCCGUGUUCGCGAAGCUUGAGACUUUUCCUUCAUCGCGUUCACAUAGAGUUAUCUGGCCCUGGGGGACGUAGCCUAAUUUUCCUCUUUCCGUUCACAAUAAUGCCUUCGGGUUCGCGUAGCUUUGUAAGUCCUUUCCUCGCGUUCGCAUCAGUACCCACGCAUUCGCAUAGACUAAUUCCUCGACCCCCAGCAUUUCCUUGCACGUGUUCACUUUUCCCUUUCUGCAUUUUGCGAUGCCCUGCCUAGUUUACCCUUCACAAAUGUGAUCUUCCUUCCGCGAACGCGAAGGGCAGUUUUGCCCAGUUACAUUUUUAGUUUCAGAAUGUAGUUGCGGAAUUUUUAUAAAAACACCCGAACGCCUCCCUCUACGAGGUCCUUAGGUGUCCAUUGAAGCUCCUUUUCACCAAGACUUCUUGGGAUGGCAAAUCUUAACUCGUGUUCUUUAUUUUCAAUCAAUAUCUACUAGAUUCCUAAGCUUAAAAUAUGUAAUUUCGGGUAGAAAACUGGGAUUUGGGUAGAGUUAGGGCUUUGAAUUUUCUUGAUUUAGACCUCGUUUUGGGGUCAAAUUUGAAAACAAAUUAUACAUUCAGACUCGUAGGUGAAUGGGGGAUAUGAAUUUGGUCUGAACCUCGUGUUUUGACCAAUCGGGGCCAGGGUUGAUUUUUGGAAUUUUGGGAAGAAAGCUUGGAAAUCUAUAAUUUGGUAUUGGUUUUGAUUUGUUUAGCAUAUAUUGAUAUUAUAAUGUCAUUAUUGUAUGGAUUUUAUUGAGUUGUAGCUGAAUUCGAGAGGGAAAUCAGUUGAUGUGGAUUGAUUUGGCCGUGAAACGAAACUCUGCCGAAUUUUUGAGAAAAAUUAAACAAAAAAAGACAAUGGAAAAGAAAAUUUGUUUUCAGACAAAUGGUUUGUUCUAUUGGUCAAGAAAAAGAAAAAAACUAAAGAGUUUUAUUUUCAAAUGGUUGUUGAAAAAGAAAAUACAAAAAGAGUAUUAUUUUCCGAAAUAGUGUAUUUGCCAAUGAAAAAGAGUCUUGUUUUCGAAAAUAGUUAGUUUUAUUGGCCCAAACGACGCAGUUUUGAUUCUCACCGGAUGUGAGAUACGUAGGCAACCCUCAUCGGCUCCAACCUUCCCUUUGCAAAAAUAUCCAAACAAUUUUCACAUUUUAAUUUUUGGCAUGAAUAAGUCAGGUAAAGUCAUUCUUGUCAGAAAUAGCCGAAUGUCCCUAAAAGGGCGCCGGAAGGCUGCUUUUGCAAGAACAGCCACCUUUUGAUCAAUUUUCAAGGUUUUGGCCGGGUAUCCAACGCGGCCACAAAAUCUUCGUCACGGGGUGCUAAAAGGCCGUGUUUGCAAAACUAAGUCUUUUAUUUUAAUUUGAAAAAUAAGAAAAAGAGUCAGUGGUUAAGUGAGUACCAUUUGGAUUUUUGUUAAAAUAAGUCGCUCCAGCUUCGGCAGUGUCUUAAACCAUCCUUGUCGAGAUAGCCUUAAAGUAUCUUUCAAUUGUCGAAAGGCAAAUUUAGUAAUAGAACGGACAAGUUUGUGAAGUGUCAUAAAAUAAAUCUCCUCGGCCUCAAAAUUCAUGUGAAAUUGAGAAGGGGCUACGUAUGCAAAAAUAGUCAUUUGGUUAAAAUUGGCAUAUAGGGGAAGGAAUCACUCAAUCUGUUUUUGAAUUUGUACUUCUUUUGAUUAUAAUAUGUGGGUUGUUUGAUUUUCGAGUCUAUAUUUUGUCUUUUCAUCAGAGUCUUUUAGUUUUGUUUAAGUUUGUCGGUUUUUAAAUCAUUGUAAUCAAAUUUUGUUUUACUGUGAAAAAUUGGAAGUUCCAAAAUAGAUUUUAUUGUUUUUUACCUUUUAUCUUCACGGACUACGCCGGCCUGAUUCAUGCGGGGUCAGGAUACGAGGCAAUCUUCAUAGUAUUCGACUGAAACCAAAUGAAAAAGGAUAAGAAAAUAGGACGAAAAACAAGAGAGGAUGAAAAAAGAGAGAAAAAGAAAGCGGAAAAACAAGUUAGAAAAGAGAGAAAAUAAGAAAUUGAGGGGAUGAGAGAACCAACACAAAGAGAAACAAAGGCAAGAAUUGAAAAGGGAAACAGAGAAAAGAAUGGAAAAGCAAGAAAAGAAAAGAAGGAAAAAAAAGAAAGCAAAAAGAAAGAAAGUGGCCAUUAGAAAUAAAUGUCGGGAUGAUGCAAGCAGUCAAGCAAAUGCAUAUAGAAUCUGUUAAAUUGCUUAGGUGCAUUCAUUCCCCUACGUACGGUUGUCACAUCUGCUCAUGCCCUAACCAUUAACCAAGCUGUUUUUGAUGUUUAGUCCAGGCAGGCGGUUAGUUGUUUGGCAUUCUGGCAACUCAUUCCCACAACACCCGAUCAAAAAACAAGCUGAAAAUGAUAGGCCAGGAAUCUGAUACCAGUAUUGUGGACCCAGCAAAAAAGGUAGAGGUGAUGGAUGUUAAUGCGAUGAGGGAAGAAAUGCAUAAGUUGAGGGAUAAAAUGGCUGAAUGGCAUCAAUCUUGGUCAAGGGGUCAGCCAGCGCCAGUUAAUCUCGCCAAUCCAGCCUAUAUCCCACCAUUGGCUCAGUCUAAGGAGCCUCCUACUGUGAAUUCAUCUCCAACUUUCCCUUUCUACCAACAGAGCUAUGGCACCACCUCAUACCCUCCCCAAGCUCCACCAUCCAAACAAAACACGCCUCCACCAAUAACCCUUGUCUUUGUGGCGCCUCCACCUGCCAGACUGCAAAGAUUUUCUAGUGAGCCACUAUUUCAGGCUCACGACAGUCAGUCUAUACUCAUGAGCCUACCUUUAAAGUUCCUUAGCCGUAUUCUUACACUCCACACUGUGAGCUACCGAUAGAAACUAAAAUGCCGUUUAAGAACCUGGAGCAGGAAGAGAUGAUUGAAAAAGUAAAAAGUCAAGAGCAAUCCUUCAGGAACAUGAAAGGGUAAGGUGUCCAAGUCAGUGUGGCCUAUAAAGAUUUGUGUUUAUUCCCGGAUUUUCAGUUACCCGUAGGGUUCAAAAUGCCAAAUUCGAUUUGUAUGACGGGCAAGGUGACUCGGUAGACCACCAAAGGGGAUUCUACGGCAAAAUGAGAGGGGUCGGUGGGAAAGAUAAAUUAUUGAUGGCGUACUUCAGCCAGAGUCUGAGUGGAUCUUCUUUGGAGUGGUAUACAUGACAGAACCAUAGUAGGUGGUAUACUUGGGACGACUUGGCACAAGCAUUCGCCUGCUAUUUUCAGUAUAAUCUAGAAAUUGCUCCAGACCGCUUGUCAUUGACAAAACUUGAGAAGAAGCCAUGGGAAAGUUUCUGGGAGUAUGUGUUCUGCUAGAGAGAAUAGACUGCGAGGGUCGACCCUCCGAUGAAAGAAAGCGAGAUGGUUAAUUUUUUUUGUAGGCUUUGGAGCCGACUUACUUUGGUCAUUUGGUAACGGCAAUUGGUAAAUCUUUUAAUGAAGUGUUGAAGAUGGGAGGAAUGGUCAAGGAAAGACUUAAAACCAACAAAAUCUUGAGCUAUUCAACUAUCAAGGAAACCACCCAGGCUAUUCAAAGCGGCACCGGGGGUGUGCUCGGGAAAAAGAAGAAAGAAGAGGAUGCAACAGUUGAAGCCGGAGCUUGGCCCAUAUCUAGAGGCACUUCCCCCUACUACCAACCCAGGACCCACCACCCAAAUUUCCCAUACAUCCCAUAUGGCCCUCCACAACACUACUAUCCACCGCCAGACCCACAUUAUUUCGUUCACCAUGCUCAAACUUCUACCCAGCCUCUGGUUCAUGUGCAAUGGCAUGAACCGGCUCCCCAAAAUACAUACUUACCUCCACAAAACACAUAUCCACCCCAAGAUCUUAUAGAAAUCCUCAAGGAUCCGAUUUCCAUUGGAAUCAAGACUUCAGAAAUAAAAAGGUACACAACCAGAAAACAUUCACUCCGCUAGUGGAGUCAUAUACCUGUCUUUUUCAGAAAUUGAGGCAGCUGGGCCGGUUGAACCUAAUCGAGCCUAAAGUGCCAAAUCCCCUUCCUAAAAAUAUGGACCAGUCAGUGAGUUGUGAGUAUUGUUCGAGGGCCCCCGGACAUGAUACUAAAAAUGCUGGAAACUGAAAACGGUUAUCCAUGAACUCACUGACACUCGCCGGAUUGAGGUUCAGGCCCCUGAGGCACCAUAUAUUAAUCAAAAUCCGAUGUUGGCUCACAAUGAGGCUCAUGUGAUCGAAUUGGUGCAUAAGGGAGGAAAUCCUAAGAAACCUUCACAGACGGUAAUGAUGAUCCGUUCUAGCAAAACAAAUUUGAAAGAAAAGCCAACCAGUGAGAAAGUGGUGGUUCACUUGAACGGGGUAGAUAACAAGCCGAUGUCGUCAAAGGUUCUUGGGUCAUUGAGUAGUGAGGUUCAAAAGGUUAUUCACUGAGAUAAACAUGGUUGAAGCAGAGAAAAGGUCAGGCAGGACAAAUGUGCAGUUCGUCUGACCAUGGGCAAAAGUCAACGACUAGAAGUCUUGGUAGUUGGUCUUGUUUUUCUUUAAGCUAUCUAGAUUAUUCCAGGGUCUAUAGUCCAGAUACUAUGUUCCGUCUGUUUGGAUGAGUUCAAACAUUGUUAUCUUUUCCUUCAGUGAAAUGAAAUUAUCUUUCUUUCUUCAUUCUUAAUUCUGUUUCAGUUUAUUUUUCUUCUUUUUACAGUUCAUUUUAUGCUGAUAUCAAUAACAAGACAUGCAAGAGGAAUACUCGGCCCAGUCUUGAAAACUGGUCUAAUUCUGAAGUAAUAAUACACAAAAUUGAGUGUGAUAAUGAGUUGGAACAUGAUGACGAUUGCAUCCUCCUUGAACAGUCGAGUUUGAUCGAUGAGAAAAGAUUGGCAUCAGUGUGUCAUGGAAAAUUGUACCAACAAAGAAUGGCAAGAGAGUACAAUAACAAAGUGCGUCCGAGGAAAUUUGAAGUGGGACAGUUAGUGCUGAGACGUAUUUUGCCUUAUCAGGCUAAAACAAAAGAAAAAUUUCCCCCAAACUGGCAGGGGCCAUUUUUUGUAACCAGAGUGUUGCCUAAUGGUGAAUUCUAUCAAAUAGAUGUGGAGGGAAAAUGUGUAGAAAUAGCCAUGAAUUCUGAUGCGGUCAAGAGAUACUAUGUGUGAUUUCUUUAUUUUGAGUGUACUUCUUUUAUAUUUGGCAUAUUAUGAAUAUUGGAAUGACGAAGGCGUUUUAUUCUGCUAUUUGAAAUACAUCAUCUUUUGUCACCCCUUUUAAGCCGUAUUUAUUUUCUUUCAUACCACUCUUUAGGAAUAGAUGGAACAAUUAAGAAAGGCAAGUGCCGAAAAUAAGUAAAUGCAAAAGAAGGAAGGAAAACGGAAAGAAGGAGGAAAAUAAAAGAAAGAAAAAAAAGAGAAAAAGAAAAAGAAAAAUGAAAGAAGAAGAAGAAGAAGAGGAAAAGAAAUAGAAAGGAUAAGAAAAAGAAAAAGAAAAGAAAAGAAAAAUGAAAAGAAAGGAAAAGAAGAAACAGAAAAAUAGAAAAAAAAAAGAGAAAGAAAAUCACAACAACGUAGUUUCUAUGACGUGAACUGCGUUUGACUUAAUCCCGAAAUGGUACGUAGAUAGCCUUUCUGAGGUUCAGUCAUACCAAAAUAAAAAUCCAAAAGUCUCCAAGCAAGAAACUGAGGUAGAAGUUGUAGUUAUCGUAAAAGAUCUGAUUCCGAAAGUUGUAAUUUUAACCCAUUUUGAAAUUGUUUUGAGCCUUUAAUACCAUUUCUUUCUAAACCUAUCCAAAAACCCACGUUACGGUCAAAAGGAAGACCUUCUGAUCAGUCUUUGAGAAAUGCCAAGUCAAGCAGGUAAAGGUAAUUCAUGUCCGGGGCAACACUCUGGUCUAAGCAGGAAAAGUAAAAAUUGAGAGAGUCUUAUUAGUGAAAACCCUCACGGGAACCGUAAGGCGACGGGAGAUGAAAAAAAUUUAAAUGAGAGUGUCUUAUUAGUGAAAACCCUUACGGUAACCAUAAGAAGACGGGAAUUAAGAUAAAUUAAAAUCAGAGAUUCCUAUUGGUGAAAACUCUCACAGGUACCUUGAGGCGAAAGUGAGUUAAAAAUGAACAAAUGAGAGAGCUCUGCUGGUGGAAAAUUGUUUCGAUACACCGCAGGAUGAACAAGACUAUGGUUAGGGUAAAGUAAUCAAGUGAUGGAAAUUCUAGGGCAAAAAGUAUGGCAACUGAAAGUCGGUUGGUUGGGUAGAUCGGCUGAUUAGUCUAAAAUACAUGUCAUGAUCAUUGGUACUAGUUGUUCCGAUCAAAUAAUUUUCUUUCCCUUUUCUUUUUAGCAGUCAUCUAGUUUUGGAUUCUUCGUAUCCUUAACUCGUAAAAUCAUUGCAUUUUAUUUUCUUUUGGGGUUUUAUAUGUCUAAGAUAUUUCAAUGUCAAAUUUUGUUCAAAGGAAGUGGAAAGGGAUUUCAAAACUGACUACCAGAUUCCGGAAAGUGUAAAGCACGAUGCGGUUGGAGCAUGUCAAAAACAAUAUGAUGAAAGGUGGAAUACAGGGAAUCACCGGAAGUUUUUUUGAUGGAAUGAUUGGGGAAAUAUCUUGGGAAAUGAAAAAGUUCAGAUAAAGGAGCAAGAGAGUGAAAUAACAGUGUAGGUACAGAACAUUCGGGUUGUCAAAAGUCUGGGGGUUAAAAUUCAGUCAGAAAGUCAAGCGGUUCAGGGCCAGUUCGGGGAGCCGCUCAAAGCAAAGCAACGCAGGGGAAGGAUUUUCAGCAAGAAUACCACCAACGAGCCACCAUUUUAAACUGACAAAUUUUCUUUGAUUGAAAUAGGGUUAGAAAAGUCAGUUGUUCAGGAGAAAUUCUCUAUAAGGGAAAACGAGUAGUAAUCAGGUUUGAUUUGAAAAGUGUAGUGUGAAUAAAAUACAAGAUAAUUAUGAAUAGCAUAGAGGAAAGAAAGUUUGCAUGUUUAGGAUAAAACUCAAGUAGAAGUCGUCAGGACCUUCCUAGAUAAUAGGAUGUAGUGCAAAAAUCCUUGUAGAUAACAUGAUGUAGUGUGAGUAAUACCUUAGGUUGUAAUUGUUAGGAGUUGUCAGGGCCUUCCUGGAUAAUAGGAUGUAGUUCAAAAACCCUUGUAUAUAACAUGAUGUAGUAAUACUUUAGGUUCAUAAUUGUUAGGAGUUGUCAGGACCUUCCUGGCUAAUAGGAUGUAGUUUUUUUUAAAAAAACUUGUAGAUAAUAGGAUGUAGUGAGAGUAAUACCUUAGGAGUUGUCAGGAACUCCCUGGAUAAUAGGACUUAGCUUUCAGUUCUUAGUAGUAUUUGGUAAUAUGAUUCAGUUUAACACUCACCCUUACACCCAACUUCUAAACUGUGGCAGAAAACUUUCUUUGGUUGCUUAUUUUGUUGAAGUCAGGAGUCCACCUGGAGAACAGAGACAUGCAUUUCAAAUUUCAGCAGUCAAGAGCCCGCUUUGAGAAUAGAGACAUACACUUCAAGUUUUAGCAGUCAGGAGCCCGUGUGAAGAAUAGAGGUGUUACAACUCAGAUUCUAGUUUUCAAUUGAUUUCUUUAUCUAUUUCGAAGUCAGGAGCCCGUCUGGAGAACAGAGGAAUAUAGUUCAAGUCUUGAAGUCAGGAGUCCGCCUGGAGAACAGAGGUAUUGCAAAUCAAAUUUUAGUUUUCAAUUGAUUUCUUUGUCUAUUUUGUGAAGCCAAGAGCCCGCCUGGAGAACAGAGAAAUACAUUUCAAGUCUUGAAGUCAAGAGCCCGCCUGGAUAACAGAGGAAUACAUUUCAAGCUAAAGUCAGGAUCCCCAUAGAGAAUAGAGGAAUACAGUUCAAGUUUUGAAGUAAGGAACCUGCCUGGAGAACAGAGGUACUACAAUUCAAGUUUUAGUUUUAAAAUUCUUAUUAAUAUCUGCUAACAUGCACCCAGUUUCCAACUGGGAAAAAUUUUUUCUUGGUUUUAUCUAUUUUUAUUAAGUCAGGAGCCCACCUGGAGAACAGAGGAAUACAUUCAAGUUGCUAAAGUCAGGAUCCCGCCUGGAGAACAGAGAUAUUACAAUUCAAGCAUUAUUUUAUAAGUUCUUAUUAAUAUUUGGUAACGUAACGCCCAGUUUCCAAACUGGGGCAGAAAGUUUUCUUUGUUUGUCUAUUUUGCGGAGUCAGGAGCCCACCUGGAUAAUAGAGGAACACAUUCAAGUUUUGAAGUCAGGAGCCCGCCUGCAGAGCAGAGGAAUACAUUCAUGUUUUUAAGUGAGGAACCCGCCUGGAAAACAGAGGUAUUACGAUUCAAGUUUUAGUUUUUAAAUUCUUAGUGAUAUCCGAUAACAUGUACCCAGUUUUCAAACUGGGGUAGAAAGUUUUCUUUGUUUUGUCUAUUUUUGUGAAGUUAGGAGCCCGCCUAGAUAAUAGAGGAAUAUAUUCAAUUCCAAGUUCAGCAGUCAGGAGCCGCCUGGAGAACAGAGGAAUACAUUCAAGUUUUGAAGUCAGGAGCCCACCUAGAGAACAGAGGAUUACAAUUCAAGUUUUAGUUUCUAAAUUCUUAUUAAUAUCCGAUAACAUUUACCCAGUUUCCAAACUGGGGCAGAAUGUUUUCUUUGUUUUGUGUAUUUUUGUGAAGUCAGGAGCCGGCUUGGAUAACAGAGGAAUACAUUCAAUUUCAAGUUCAUCGGUCAGGAGCCCGCCUGGAGAACAAAGGAAUACAUUCAAGUUUUGAAGUCAGGAGUUUUCUUGGAGAACAGAUGUAUUGCAAUUCAAGUUUUGGUUUAUAAAUUCUCAUCCAGUAACAUGUACCCAGUUUCCAAACUGGGGCAGAAAGUUUUCUUUGUUUUGUCUGUUUUUGUGAACUCAGGAUGCUUGGAGAAUAGAGGAAUACAUUUAACUUGCUAAAAGCAGGAGCCUGCCUGAAGAACAGAGGAAUACAGUUCAAUUUUGGAAGUUGAGAGCCCGCCCGUACAACGGAGGAAUACAUUCAAGUUCAAUAGUUAGAAGAGAAGGGACAACAUCUCAGUUUUCAAUUUGAGGUGGCAAUAAUGGAUUUACCAAGAGAACACAAGAAAACAAGGCAACAAGAAGCACAAGAUCAAGUAAAAGAAUUUAGAUAGGAUUUUUCUAAUUCGUAAAACACAGCUUGUUUAGCUCCUUUUUAUUUUGACAUGGUUUAAUAAGGGAGGUCAGCAAGCAGUAGCAUCAGCAAUUGUAGUAAAAUCACAGCUCCUGCUAGUCCCAGCUACCAAACAUUCCCGAACUACACCGACCUGAUUUCAUUUUAACCAAGGAUAUGUAGGCAACCUCCGAAGCAGGGUGCAGUCAACUUUUUCAAAAGUGCUUCACACGGAAUAUUCAAACGGGCAAAAAUCACUCAUAUUUGCUCACUUAUCUUUGCCUGAAAGCCUUUCAUAUUUUCGAGCAAAGAGGGGCAGCUGUGAGCACGUGAUUGUUUUUCCUAUAUGUGAAUUAUUCCCAAAAAUUCAAACUAAAUGGUUUUCUUUCAUUAUUUUACAAUUUUUUGAAUAUUGUGUUAUUUUCUAUUAAUUGUUGUCAUUUUAUUUGUGCAUUAUUAAUUCAUAUGAAAAAUAUAAAAAAAAUACAUUUUUCAUGUUCAUUUAGGAUUUAAUUUCAUAUAUUAGGAUUAAUUAGUAGUGAAAUUGUGUUUAAAACAAAAUAUAAAGAAAAUAACAAAAUGGUCCUUUUGUAUUUAUAGUUUAAGUUUGUUUUAGUUUGAAUCUACAUAAGGAAUUUGUGUAAUUGAAAAUUAAAAAAUAUAAUUUUAGAGGCAGUUUGACUUUACUUUUUAAUUUAGCAUUUCACAAAAAACAAAAAAUAGAAAAAUAAUGAAUAAAAGAAAUAGGAGAAAAAGGAAAAAAAAGAAAACAAUUUAAAAGGAAAUGAGAGCUUGUUUACUGUAAGAACCAAAUUGGGUUAUCAAUUUAGCCCAAAACCAUACUCCAGUCUGGCGCAAAAAUUCCCAAAACUCGGCCUGCCCUUUCCCUUAACCUAACGAUGCCGUUUGGCGUCACAAAAUCCUAGUUGUCAACUUAUCAUCAUCCAACGGUCUCUGUUCAUUCAGGGCAUUUUAAUAAAAGUGUCCAAAAUAUCAGCCAUUAACCCUAGACAAAUCCCGUCUUCCUCGUACAAAUCUCGUUCGGCAUUCUAAAUUCUAUCAUCUCCGACAGAGGUUCAGUAUUUACAUCAUGGUUCUGGAGAGCCGUCCAGCAAAAGUUGUGUACCCAGGUGGCUAUGAGUACAACUUUUCACCCUCAGACGGACGGACAGUCCAACCGCACCAUUCAGAUUCUUGAGGAUAUGCUCCGUGCGUGCCUUAUUGAGUUUAGAGGGUGUUGGGAUCAGUUCUUGUCAUUAGCUGAGUUUGCAUACAACAAGAGUUAUCAGUCAAGCAUUCAGAUGGCAUCAUAUGAGGCCUUAUAUGGUAGGAGACGAAGAUCCCCGGUGUGUUGGUUCGAGCCGGGUGAGGCCAGGCUAUAGGGCCCUAAUUUGGUCCAGGAUGCGGUCGAGAAGGUUAAGGUGAUUCAGGACAGACUUCGUACGGCCCAGUCCAGACAGAAGGGUUACGCGGACGGGAAGGUUCGUAAUGUUUCCUUUAUGGUUGGUGAGCGGGUACUGCUUCAGGUCUCGCAUAUGAAAUGCGUCAUAAGGUUUGGGAAGAAAGGGAAGUUGAGUCUGAGGUUCAUUGGUCCCUUUCAGAUUUUGAAGCAAGUUAGGAAUGUUGCUUAUGAGCUUGCCUUACCUCCCAGUUUGGCCGCGGUUCAUCCGGUAUUUCAUGUCUCGAUGCUUUGGAGGUAUCACAGUGACCCGUCUCACGUGUUGGAGUUCACAUCUGUCUAGUUCGAUAAUGGCUUGUCCUAUCUUGAGGAGCCAAUGGCGUUAUUGGACAGGCAGGUCCGAAAGCUCAGGUCAAAGGAUAUAGCUUCAGUAAAGGUUCGGUGGCAGAGUCAGCCGGCCAAGGAGGCAACUUGGGAGACUGAGCGGGAUAUGCGCAGCCGAUACCCUCAUCUUUUUGCUACUUCAGGUAUGUUUUCUAUGCUCAUUAGAGGAUGAAUGAAUAUUUAAGUGUAGGAGGAUGUGAUGACCUGGCCGGUCGUCUUUGGAAUUAAUGCCCCGUUUCCCCAUUAACUACUUCCCCUAAGUUCAUUUCUGCUAUUUUGGUUUGCUGGGACGUUAGGUGUUAGAAUUAAGAGUGUUAUGGGACACUUAGUCCCUAGCUGUAUUAAAGGCAUAUCAUGUCUAUUAACAUUCUCCCACUACUUAAAUGCAAUGGAAAGUCAAUUCCGACAUGUGGGUUUUGAUGUUCUUGAACAUCUAGUUAUUUCUUUGUCCAAUUCCUGUAAAAAUAAUUUACUUCUAUGAACAUGUUUUAUUAAACAGUCCUUAUCUAUAAAGGUGUAUUUGUUUGAACAAUUGCGUUAUUUUCUUUAAGACAACAAAAUAAAACUCCAUUCCUUUUCUUGGAUAUUCAAUAAACAUGCACCUAUCCAUUCUUAGUUCUAUCUUACAUAUCCACUUUCCCUUUUAGCACAUAUGCGGGACAAUCCUAUAUCUGAACAUGCCAAAGACUGAGCUUACAUUCAGUCUAUUGUUCUAUAGAUAUCCCAGGUACUAGCUUAGAAGGAUCUAAAUUCAGAAUGUAAUUUAUAGUUUCCAAGAAAUAUUUCAAAAACAAAUCAGGCAAAUCUGAACAAUACGUCAUUAAUCUAUCCAUGUCCAAAAGAGAUUUAUUUCUUCUUUCUAUAGUCAAUUGAGAUGUAAUCCCUUAUUCUGAUAAGUAACUAAAGAACUCUUUAGAGAGGUGCUCGUCACUACAAUCAAAUUGUAGUAACUUAAUAUAUUUUAUUGGCGCUUCUCCGUUUCAAGCCUUAAAAAUCUUGAUUGCUUAAAUCAUUACGACUUAUUGUUCAUCAAAUAAAUAUAUUAAUAUAUUGAUUAAUCAUUUAUUUACACCACAAAUACUCAAAACUAUAUUUUACGAGUAUGUUCAUUUAACCAUACAAAUCAGAAAUGAUUUAUUCUAGCUUAUCACUGGCUUUAUUUCCUUUUGAAAGGAAACAACCUUUAGUCAAAUUUCCUUCCAAAAAGGAUCUAUAAUGCAAGUUGGUAGUGCCUCUACUUUUAUUGAAUCUUAAGGUCCAUCCUUGACCAACUUAAAAUCUUAUCCCGAUUAAUAUGACUUAGCCAAAAGGGCACAAAUAAAAUUUACUCAAUUUUGAAGAACACAUUCUCUUAGGAGAUACACUAAUAUUGUUCUCUUCAGGAGAGACAUUAAUAUACAAUAACAAGGUCAUGCAUUCAUGUACCACAAGAGAUAAAAUAUUUAUCAACCUUAAUAACUUAAGAAUUAUUCGAAAAAUAAAACAAAUAUCGCUCGUUCCCAUUUAACUUGUAACGAUUUUUUUUAAAACGUUUAACUGGCACCUAUGUAGAGGCAUUUCAUAUUUUACCCUUUUUCUUGCUUUUUAUCCUUCUCUUCUUGACCUUCAUAAAAGUUUUAUGGUCUAUGUUGUACUUGCUGAAAAAUCCAAGAGGUCUAUGCUUUUCUCAUCAUUCGCAGGCGAUCCUUUUCGUACUUGCUAGUUGUUGUUUGCGACAUAAGACAAGUUUAGCUUAAAUAUGAAGAAAUUCGAAUUGAAUUCAUUAGAGAGAGAGCAUGGUUGAUGCUAAUUAGGAAUACCUAUGGUUUAAGAAAAGUAGAUAAGGUAUUUACUCCAGAGAUAUAAAGUUAGGAGUGCUUCUGGUAAACUUCAGAUGUAUUUUUGAAGUUGCGUAAAAGUUACAGAAGAACUUCAUAUUCGAUUUUUGAAGUUAGAUUGAAGUGAUGGAAGAUCUCGAUUUUUUGAAGUUGCAUUGAAACGAUAUAAUAACUACAGAUCCGAUUUUGAAGUUCCACUUUGAAGUUUUUUAGAAAAACUUUAGAUUUAUAAUACUCUAAAUUGUAACUUCGGGGGCAAAUUCUGAAAUAUACUUUGAAGUGGGUAAAUUUUCCAAAUUUUAUGCCAUACGAGUAUGACUUUAAUGAUAGCCCAAAAAUCAAGUAUAUCUCCACUACUCCGGGAUAGGCAGUAGCUUCAUUUGCAUCCAUAGCCCAUUCCAUGAAGCCCAAAAAGGUUAGAACAUAUGCUCGAUAAUUUGGGGUAAAGUGCACAAAUAGUCCUCAAAAUGCAUUCUUUUGAUUUUUUUGUUCCUGCUUGAGCAAAAUUUUAAAUUUUACAAGUGUUGCCCCUCUUUUGCCCCAUGAGCUACACUUUUAAUUUUCGAUCUUAAAGCUCUGCCUAUGUGACAAGCAGGGGUCAAAAUUAAAUUAUCAUAUUUCAAUAAUUUCUUAGAUAAUUAAAAAAUCGCGGCCCAUAGAAACUCAUCCCGAGUCUUUAGAAUUUAGCCCUAAAUAAUGGGCUUAGUCCCUUUAUCUACUCAUCGUGACUGAUAAUUAAAAAGUUGUCACAAUUUUAAAAAUAAACGAAGUUUAGCAAUUGUUUUAUAUAAAAGUAAAAUCUGAACAAAAGCACCAUUAAAAAUUAAUAUGCCUAAAAUUUAUAAUAUGCUGGAACUACGACAUAAUAUACUAGAAGUUUAUAUGCAUGUUCAGAAAAAUAGUGACUAUUUUUCAAUAUCUUUAUAAAUAUUAUUUUUUUAAUUACCAAUACGAAAACUAGCUAGCCCGUAUUAUUUUCACGUAAUUUAUUAAUAUAAUGGGCCUAGCCCUUUGUCUUGCUCUUUGUUAUCAAACCACGGCGUUAUCUGUUUUUUAGCAGAUUGUCGAAAUUCCUAAUGAGCGGUAUCCAGGCACACCACAUGUUUGAUAUUUGUCGUAAAUCGUUGAUGUUCCUAAAGAGCUGUCCACGCACACCACCUGUUUGAUAUUCUGUCGUGUCACUUUACUCCUCACCUCCUUCCUGGUAAAAAUCCUGAACUUUUGUCCUCGUAACACCUUUCAAAUUCUAGUAACUCUUCUGUUCCUUUAACUACAUUCUUACCUAGCUUUUCUUAGGUUGUCAUUUGCAUGUAAGCCAUAUGUACUUCAACCGAUUGUACAAAAUAAACAGCACCUUUAAUAAUUUAUCUUUGCAGUUUCGCCGUUUCUUGAGAACCCAAAAUGUAAAUAAAGUAGAUUUGUAUUUCCAGAGGGCGAGACUCAUUGAUUCCAUCAGACUCGCUCUUCGGUCUAAUUCUUCAGAUAAUCUUAUUCCCCAUCUCGAGAAUCCUACUUUGGACUCCUUUGUAGUCACUAAUGCACUUCAAUCAGCUCCCUCUCCUGAUUCAGCUCUCAGUUUGAUUGAGAAUCUCAAAACAAUUCCCCAUUUCGCGCAUACCCAUAACACACUUUAUGCAUUGGCCAAGGUUCUUGCUAAGGCGCGAGAAACUGCUAAACUCCAAGCCCUUAUCAAUGCCAUUAAUUCGGGCAAGUUUAUUAAUGUUGCGCGCGUUAGUUAUAUGGAUCAGAUGCGAUGGUAUGCUAUUAGUAAAGAGUUUAAUGAGGUUGUUCGUGUGUGGGACGAGUGGAGGACAACCCUUCAAAAGCAUCCGUGUACUGAGUCUUAUAACAUUGUAAUGGGAUUAUGUGUUCAGUUGGGUAAGGACGGUGAUGCCGUGAGGGUAUUCUAUAGGAUGAUCGAAGAAGGGGCACUUCCUAAUUGUAGGACGUACACUAUUCUGAUUGAGCAUCUUGUUAGAUCGAGAAAGUUGGAUUCAGCCAUUGAGCUUUUCCAUAUGUUGCCUCAUGUUAGGAUGAAACGGACAUUAAAGCAGUAUUCUGUUCUAGUGGAAGCAUUUAGUAUUGCCAAUCAAUUAGAUGUUGUCAAAAUUUUUCUUGAAAACGGACAUUAAAGCAGUAUUCUGUUCUAGUGGAAGCAUUUAGUAUUGCCAAUCAAUUAGAUGUUGUCAAAAUUUUGCUUGAUCUGAUGAAGAGUGAUGGAAUAUUGCCUGGUCAAGCUAUGCUUUGGUCAUUGCAGCAGAUGCUGGAUGCCGGUUAUGAUGCUGAGACAAAUGAAUUUCUAAGGAAUAUGUUACCGGAUAGGAGGGUUAAGAAGAUAGGUUACUCUAUGGACAAUAGUGAAGAUGAUAAUGAUGAUGAAGAUGAAGAUAAAGGGAGUGACUGUAACCAUACUAAUGCUGUGGAUCGACCUCACCUGAAGCCAUGGUUGGAUCCAGCUUCGUUAGCUAAUGCUUUGCGGAACUGGGGAGCUGAGGAAGUGUCAGCACUGGAGGAGGCAAAAUUAGUUUGGACGACUAGGUUGGUUUGCAAGAUGAUCAGGAGCUUCAAGUCAGCAGAAACAGCUUGGCAAUUCUUCUGCUGGGUUGCUUGUCAGCCAGGAUUCACUCAUGAUAUAUAUACAGUUUCAAGAAUGAUCACAAGAUUAGCUCGCCAAGGAUGUGUCGAUUUGGUUGAUCAACUUUUGUCCAAGGUUGAAAGAGAGGGCAUUCAAUUGUCAUUCAGCACGAUUCGGUUAAUUAUAGAUUUUUAUGGGAUUUCUGGUAAUGGUGAUCCCGCCCUUAGGGUUUUCAAAAGCAUUAAAACAAUCUGUGGUCCGAUAUCUAAAAGCAGCCAGUUGCUUCUGUACUCGUCUCUUCUAAGGACUUUGGUAAAAUGUAAUAUGAACCCGGACGCCUUAAAUAUUCUCGAAGAAAUGAGUUUACUCGGAAUUGUUCCAGAUUUGCAAACAUAUUCUGGACUAUUGAACCAUUUUGCGCUUCAUGGAGAUAUAAAAACUGUGCAGAGGCUUUUCGGGAUGGUUAGGCAGAGCGGUAUAGAGCCUGAUGCUUAUAUGUAUAAAGUUCUCAUCCAUGCUUAUUGCAAAUGUGAAAGAGCUGCUCUUGCGCUCAGGGUUUUUGAGGACAUGAGGAACUCGGGGUUGUUGCCUGAUGCUAACACCAAACAGUUGCUUGUCAAGAGUCUCUGGAAGGAAAGCAAGCUCCGAGAAGCUGCUUCCGUAGAAGAGAGAACUGAGGAAAUAAGUGAUGCUCUUCCCCUUGCUUUAGUUGGACAUAUGUUUACAGUGAGCUCUGCAGAUGCCAAACAGUUACUUGUCAAGAGUCUCUGGAAGGAAGGCAAGCUCCGAGAAGCUGCUUCUAUAGAACAGAGAACUGAGGAAAUAAGUGAUGCUCUUCCCCUUGCUUUGGUCGGACAUAUGUUUACAGUGAACUCUGCAGAUCUUUCAAGAGUGUAUAACAUUUAUUCCAAUAGUUUCCAGUCGACAUGCAGUUGAAGGAAUUUGUCAUUGAUCAGGAUAUAGAGCUGCAGUGCUUUUCCAGUUCAUAUAAGCAAGUGUCCUCCUCCAUAUUUCAGGUCAACAUCAUCAAGUUAACUCUUAUUAAGGAGGUCUAGUUAUAUGUUUAAAGCAUUUUGAUUAUGUUGAUCAGAAAUGAAAGCGUUGAUCUUUGUAGUAUUGUUGCUGAAAAUCAUGAACAAUCAACCAGCCUUUUACUUGGCAUCUGACUAAAGAUCCUAGUUGUCAAUAAUGCAGCUGUUUUACUCAUAUAUGUGGUGAUAUCGCAAAUCACUUGUUUGUUAGGGUAUAGUUCCUAUCUUGUAUCUUUCUACUUUGUAAUCAAUAUAUACUCGUAAUAUAUGUUUUUUCAGAGGGUAGAGCUUUUGAUUCUUUGUAUGCUCUAGGAUUUUUGCUUGUUCAUCUCAGGGCCAACGUCCACACAUGAUGGAUGCCCAUUUUUCUGCCUCUAAGACUUAAAUAAUAGUUUUUGCAUUGUCAUUAUGGACUUUCUUGGGGUUUUACCUUAUUUCCAUGUAAACUUAGUUUUCUAGAUUCUCAAUACUUUUAUCCUGGAAACUAAGCAUCCCUCCGUCUCCCAUAUCAUUUCAGUCGAAAGGGCGGAAAAGUUGUCAAGAGAGGACUCUUAAGUUGGUAUUUUAUGAAAUUUUUAGUAUAAAAGAUUGAUAAUAAAGUCUAGGGGUUGAUUAAAACAAUGAUAUUAAAAGAGUUAAGUUAAUUGCAGAGAUGAGAGAAGCCAGUUUCCUCCUUUUAGUGAAAAGUAUUUUCCUUGGAACAUAUUUUUUAGCAACCAUGCAUCAGAAAACGACUUAUUUCUCGAAAAUACUCACCGAAAACUAUUCUUAGUCAUAUAAAAUGCACCCGGAAUAUCUCCAAGAAACUGGCGAUUGUAAUUUGUGAUUGCUUUAUUAUGUCCCUUUCUCCUAAGGUAAGAGAGAGACAAGCUCGACUUGCCUGUGUUAAGCAUAUACCUAGGCUCCUGGCAUUGACAGCCACCUCUAAGACUUCAUGCGUAUCUCUAGUUUUUUUAUUCUUAAUUGUUUACUUCAUGAACUUUUUAUAGAAGGGGGAAUCCUUGCCGUCUUGAUUUGGUUGUAGUAUUAAUUUAAUAGUUGAAGCUUCCUUAGAAAAGAACUGAAAGGGAAUGUCAUAAUCAAGGAACUAGAAAAUAAUGAUUAUGGGUGUGUUUGGUAUGAAGGAAAAACAUCUUUCGAAAAAUACUUUUCAAUUUUCCCAUGUUUGGUUGGUUUAAAUAUUUUAAAAAAUAUUUUUCUUAUGAACUCAUUUUCCUUCAAUUGGAGGAAAAUGUUUUCCUUAUCAAGAGAAGGAAAAAUAUUUUUCAAAACUCCUUCUCAACCUUCCUCACCCUAUUCUUCAUCCUCACCGACCCACCCCACAUCCACCCACCCAACUCACCCCAUGCCUACUCACCCUAUCUAAAUUAUUUAUGAAUACUCUUGAGAAGUUAUUUCCCUUAGUUUGCGUACCAAACACAGGAAAAUGAAUAAGAUUAUUACUUGUUUUCUAAGAAAAUAUUUUCUUGGAAAAUAUUUUCCACGGAAUAUGUUUCAUUAUACCAAACACACCCUAUAUCUACAAAUGAUUUCCUUUUCCUUAUUGAGAAUAUUUUAUGAAGCAUUGUUGCACAGUGACAGAGACAGAUGCAUAGAAUAUGAGAGUAGGCAGAGAAGACAAGAGGGUAUCUCACAGACAAAGCUACAAACAAGGCCUCAUAGACAAUAUUAUAUCCUUCCAAACUACAAGAAUUUCUGUAGCUUUCAGAUUAACGUUUAAUAAAUCCCUAAAAUCAACUCUUGCUCGAGCUACCAAAUAAACUUUCUAGCUGGUUCCUUGCUAUCUAAGCUUGCAGCAACGGGAGUUCCUCUUGUCUCCUUGUUUUACAACUUUUUCUUCUUUCUCAUACUUCCAUCCUCUAACAUAACUGCUCAAACAUCUAGUGCAGACACUGACUUUUCGUGCUCGAUAAACUCUUCCUUGUCUUGUGAUACAUAUGUCACAUAUCGUGCCCGUCCACCAAAUUAUUUUGAUGUGGGAAGUAUCUCCGAUCUUCUUGAAGUCAGUCGUUUAAGUAUAGCUAAGGCCACAGGUCUAGUCUCAGAGGAUACCAAGCUAUUCCCUGACCAGCUUUUACUUAUACCUGUUAAUUUGUACUGCAAUGGUUCUCAUUAUUUCUCCAAUGUCACCUAUCAGAUCAAGAAAGGUGACAGCUUUUAUUCAGUUUCAGUAGGAUCUUUUGAGAACCUUACCGACAAUCAUGUGGUGCAAAUAUGAAUCCACACUAGAUCCAACCAACUUGACAGUUGGGGUGGAAGCUGUUUUUCCUUUGCGUUGCAAAUGCCCUGCCCAUUCUGAUCUCGGAAAGGGACUUCAGUACCUUGUUACUUAUGUGUGGCAGCCUUGGGAUAAUAUAUUGCCUGUAAGCAAUAUGUUCGGAGCAUCUGCAGCCGACAUUCUGGCUGCAAACAAUUACAGAAAUUUCACUGCUGCCAUAUGUCUUCCUGUCUUGAUACCGGUAAAAUUUCCUAUUAUUCUGCAAUCUUACCCCUCUCCUACGAGAAGUAGAAAAUCCAAACGUGGAUGGAUCCUCAUUGCUGUUUUAAGUAGUAUGGGGUUUCUUGUAGUUUUCUCAUUGUGCUUGAUGGUAUACAUGCGUCUUUUACAUGAGAAGAGGAGCACAUUCGCCCGUAAUACUUCUACUCUGGAAUCCUCUGAUCUUAUUCAGACCAAGAAAGCCUCCAAAAAUGAAAUUUUAGAGCAUAAGACCAUUCAAGAUAAGCUUCUUCCUGGAGUUUCUGGCUAUAUUGGAAAGCCAAUAAUGUAUGACCUGAAGAUCAUCAUGGAAGCGACGAGGAACUUCAGUGAAAGAUACAGUAUAGGAGGAUCAGUCUACAAGGCCAUGAUCAACGACCAGGUUGUAGCUGUCAAAAAAACUAACCGAGCCUCAGAGGAAUUGAUGAUACUUCAGAAACUGAAUCAUGCAAAUCUGGUGAAAGUAAUGGGCGUUUCAUCAGACAAUCACGGGAAUUUCUUUUUAGUUUAUGAAUAUGCUGAAAGUGGCUCACUAGAUAAGUGGUUGUUCCCCGGAUCAUCUGCUUCUGGCUCAGUGGUAAUGCUCGGUUGGAGCCAAAGUUUACAUAUAGCAUUGGAUGUUGCAAAUGCUCUGCAAUACUUGCAUGAACAUAGUCAACCUAGCAUUGUUCAUAGUGAUAUCCGAACGAGUAACAUACUUCUUGAUUCAAGGUUUAAAGCCAAAAUUGCAAGUUUCUCUUCAGCUACACAUGCUACCAACUCAAUGAUGCUGAAAGUCGACGUGUUUGCUUUUGGGCUUGUACUUUUGGAGUUGCUUUCAGGAAAGACAGCAAUGGAGUCAAAAGAUAAUGAUGAGAUUCUGAUGCUGAAAGAAAUUAAGGGACAGCCACACAUGCUACCAACUCAAUGAUGCUGAAAGUCGACGUGUUUGCUUUUGGGCUUGUGCUCUUGGAGUUGCUUUCAGGGACGACAGCAAUGGAGUCAAAAGAUAAUGAUGAGAUACUGAUGCUGAAAGAAAUUAAGGGAAUCUUGGAAGUUGAAGAUAACAGAGAGGAGAAAUUUAGAAGGUGGAUGGAUACCAAGCUGAGCUUUUACCGUGUUGACGAUGCUCUAAGCUUGGCUGCCUUGGCGAAGGCGUGCAUAUCUGAGAAAUCAAUAGAAAGGCCUAAAAUGACAGAUAUUGUCUUCAACCUCAGUUUUCUUACUCAAGAUCUAGCCAGGAACUUUGCCAGUUCAUCAAAUUUUUAACAUAUAUUCUGGAUUAUAAAGCAAGAGGAACCAUAAGCUCUCUCCAGAAUAUAUUGCAAAUUUCGAGUUCUCAUGUGCAGUUAUUCCCUGUAUUUCUCUUGCACCUAUAAAGCAGUGGCUCUUGUGUAGGAUGCUUUGCUAAACCACUCAACUUUGGAAUAAUUGAAGAGUAAUUUGAUAUGUAGUUCAAUCUUUCACCCUCCAAAACAAGAAGAAAAACUAUAUUUCUGAAACACGUUACAAACUCCUUAUUUAUGUCUUUAUAUCUUGGGGAUCUAAACGAUACAUGUUUAUUUUGUAAACAUGUUCUCUAAUUUUUUGCAUCCAUCUGUAUUUGAUCAAGGUUGAUGUUAUUUUUCCAGGUCGAGUCCUAUAUAUAUAUAUAUAUAUNNNNNNNNNNNNNNNNNNNNNNNNNNNNNNNNNNNNNNNNNNNNNNNNNNNNNNNNNNNNNNNNNNNNNNNNNNNNNNNNNNNNNNNNNNNNNNNNNNNNNNNNNNNNNNNNNNNNNNNNNNNNNNNUAUAUAUAUAUGUAUAUAUAUAUAUAUGUAUAUAUAUAUAUAUAUAGGUGUGUGCGAAAAGUAACUAAAGAUAAUACUAUGUAUGCAUUUUAAAACCAACUCUAUCAACUCAUAGCCCACAAUGUCUAAAUUCUGGAUCUAUCACUGCAGCUUUACUUCUUUUUCCCUCCUUAUCUCAGUCAGGUCAGUCUCAAAUGUAUAAGAAAUCUGUCCUAAGAUCAAUCUGACCAGCUUCAACGUACUCAUGCGCGAUAAACCGUUUUCUACCCUACAGAAACCUUUUAGAUUAAUCUUUGUUCCUCGCCUUUUCAGCCAGAGACAUCACUGCAUCCACUGCUAUUUUGUUGUUGUCAGUGUGAACUUAAGUAUUAAUUAGUUUUAAAUUCCUUUUCGAUUAUACACUAUUUUGCACUCACUAUCCAAAUAUAUACUACAACGUCCCUGCACCAUAGCGACAUAUUAAAUAUUGAUGGUUUAUCUAUAGAGAAAAGGUCCAAAUUAAAACAGAAGGCAAAUACUAUUAACGUUUGCUUUUGUCUUGGACCUUUACUGGAAAAUGGCUCAAAGGCUUAAAAGAUUUUCUUCAGUAAGAGAAAAUACGUCUAGUUAGACUCAAUAUCUUUCAUCUCUCUUUACUUUAGAGUUUAACUUCUAUAAAUUGAUACUUUGAUUCACAAUAAAUAUUCAAUUUAUUUUUUCAUUUUGGUUCAAAAUAAGUGUGCGGUUAUGUAAUGAAGAAAGAAUUCAAUUUGUUUUUACAAAAUAACCUCUAUAUACAUAUUCUUAAAAGGUUUUCUUACUCCUCACAUUAAAUGUUUAAUUAUGGGUAGUUUAUUCAUAGUACAUAUUUUUGUAUAAAAUUUAAUAUUUUCUUAAUGAGCGUGCUAAAAGUAAAUUGAAUACUUAUUGUGAACCGGAGGAAGUAGUGUAAAAAUUUGUUUUACACUAUCAAGUUAUCUGAGAGUUACCUGGAAAAUAAGGCAGUCUCUUACAAUUCAACAUGUCAAGUGCACUAGUAGCAUAAAAAUGUAAACCUUAAGUUUAAAUGAUGAUUGUUUGGCUCCAAAGGUAUACACACUUUGUGAGCUUAAAACAAUAAAAAAAGUAUACAGGUAAAUCGUAAUCAAGUACAAUAAGCCCUAGAAAAGAUUACCUAGCUAAGAUCGUAGUAGAUCUGAAGAUAUAAAAGAUUAUGGAGAGUUUUAGUGACAAAGAAAGAUAAAGAGAAGUUUGCUUGCUAACAGUAGAGAGAGAAAUUAGAGUGAUAGUAUUGCUUACAUCCCAUUACAAGGUACAUGUCUCCUUUAUAUAUUAGGAGACCUUUCUCGAAAUAAUCAAAAGAAAAGUACAAAAGUUGGUGGCUUCUUCGUACGAAGGAAGCCAAGCCUUAAACGACCUCGUUCCUCCACCUAGUUGAUUAGAACGUCCUUGCUCGGGUCGUCCUUGCCUUGGUCGACACGAUUCGAGGGUGGCUUUGUCAUGAAGGGCGUGUCUUCUCAGACGGGAAUGGGGCGAGCCGGAUUUUACCUCAUACAGUUAGUCCCUCCGUCCGUUGGAGGCGUGCUCGAUGGACGUCUUCAAUGGACGGAUAUGUAUGCUUAUGUGACGAUAUAAACCCGUUGACGUUCGGCUCUUUUUUAGAGUGGCGUCACCGGUCACGUGCGUCAUCAUUAUUUUUGCUCCGAGACGGUUCAGAGCCUGACGUGACCUUUGGGUUUCCCGCGCCAGCUUUUGAAUGAUGUCGCUUCGAUUUCAUUGUACCUCGCCCCUAUAAACAACGGAGCAGUUUAAAAUGAUUCAUCAUUCGAACCUUUAAAGAACAUUUCUCCCUUUCUUUCAUCCCGUUUUUCCGCAACCGCUACUUUACUUGAGAAUUGUUGUUUCUAAGGCUCGAAACUUGUAUUACUAAAACACUCUUCUUUGCAAACUAUAUCAUGGCGAAACGCCAUCAUGGCAGCAAGAGGUCCAAAGAUAACGCCCCUUCUAGGAUUUCACCUUCUUCCGAUGGUGAGGCGGGGGAGGUCCGAGAGGACCCCGUUGCUCUAUCUGUGGCUACCGUUCUUCCGAAGAACAUGAGCAAAAGGAAUGACAUUAGUCACAAUAGCUCAGCUCCGCCCUGGGGACACAGCGAAUUGACGCCAUCUCACUUGGAUGCUCUUAGGAUGGUGUACAGGUACCCGGAUCAUGUUGAGAUAGCUCCUGCCGGAGGGGACUAUGCCAGGGACUAUGCCAAUGUGCGCAGGCCCAGAUUCUACACGUUCUGCGAGUAUGCAUUCCAAAUUGGAUACAGUUUCCCGCUCAACCCUUUAGCGGAUGAGCUUUUCCGCUUCUUUAGAGCAUGCCCGGCUCAACUCACCCCUUACUCAUUGAAUGUGUGUAGGGUGCUUACCACGCACGUGGAAAAAGCCGGGUGUGCGGUCACAGUAUAUCAUAUUUUGCAAAUGUUCAAUACAAGUUACCUGAGGGGUUCAAUAUUGCAUUUGACGCGCCGCGGCAAGAAGAUCUCCGUAGUAUAGUCCGAUGAUAAGGCCAAUCGCGGAUAUUGGAUGAGGUUUUUCUAUGUCCAGACGGAGUAUUUGGUGGAUAACCCCGAAGGGUUUCCGAAGGUGUGGAACCCAAAGUGUAAGUAUGCCUUUGUGCUCUCUUCAUUGCUUUUCUUUAUGACGGCUCAACUCUUAUGGACCUUUUGUUUGCUGUUUGUAGUGGCAGCUCGUAUGCUUGUAGAUUCUUCGUCCCUUUAUUGUGGGACGACAUCAUGUCGUGGAUGGAGAGGCUGAGACCACAUAUAGAGGAGUGUUGUACCUGGGCUCAAUUCUGCAGUAUGUAUGACCCGACUGGUAGCGGUCUUCCCUUUUCCCUCGUCCUGAUUCGAGGGUUCCCUUGUUUGACACAUCUUUCCCUCGGCAUGUCAGGGCACUUCUAAGAAGGCCAAGAGGAGGAGAACUGAUACCGGCCCGUCUAGGGUAGAGCCGAGCUCUGAAGAUGAGGAUGUGCCUAUGGGGGGUUCGCCUAAAAAUAGCGCCCUAUUGGCCCCUCAGCAGGAGGUUGCGCCGAGAGCGAUGUCCGAGGUGGCACCUGAAAUGACAAUGGAUGUAGCGUCGAAAGAGGUUCUGGCAGAGGCACCCGAGGUCGUGCCCGCGAGAGAGACCGAGGUCGGGUCCGUCUACGAGGCGCUUCCUUCAGGGUUUCCUUUGCAGCCAGAGGAGGCGGCUUCUGAAGAUGAGGAGCCAGUUGUUCUGGAUUUUUUUCCUUCCAUUGUUUCCAACUAAAAUGCCCCUUUGCUGGCUGUUGCUGUGAUUUUGUAGGGUCCUUCCCAAUUUGUGCCCAAUUUUGCCCCGCUUGGGUCAUUGGAGGCCAAUGUUUUGGCUUUGAGGAUGUAGUCUCCUACAUUGAGCGGCCUUAUUUUUGCUCUUUUGUUAUAGUACCUUUCGACUUGCUGUUUUUGGGCCACCAUUCUUAUGUGGGCCAUUUUUCUUCUUUCCUCGGCUUCAUCAAGGUCUUGGAGCCUAUUUGUGUCAUUUUUCGUUCCACUGGUGUGCGAAUACCUCAGCCUUUGUUCGCCUACUUCGACGGGUAUGACCGCGUCGGUUCUAUAAACCAAUGAAUGUGGAGUUUUCCCUGUGCUGGACUUGGGUGUGGUCUUGUGUGCCCACAACACUUCGGGUAGUAGUUCGGGCUAUAGCCCUUUGGCGUUUUUAAAUUUCUUCUUCAGUAUAUUCAGAAUUGUUUUAUUGAAGGAUUCUGCUUGGCCGUUAGUGGUAGGGUGGUAUGGCGUGGAGAGUAUCCUCUUGAUGCGCCAUUUUUCGAAGAAUUCGAUCGUGUUUUGACCGAUGAACUUUCGUCCGUUAUCACAGCUGAUCUCUUGAGGAAUACCGAAGCGGCAUACAAUGUUCUUCCAUAUGAAUGUGAUGACCUCCUAUUCGCGUAUUUGUGCGUAUGCACCUUCUUCCACCCACUUGGAGAAAUAGCCAGUUAAAACAAGUAAGAACAGUACCUUUCCCCGCCCUGCAGGUAGAGGGUCGACUAUGUCCAUUCAUCAUUUAAUGAAGGGCCAGGGAGAGUUGACUGUGUGUAGGGGUUCUCCUGGCUGGUGUAUCAUUGGUGCACAUUUCUGGCAUUGCUCACAUCGGCGGAUGUAUUCUGCCGCUUCUUUCUUCAUAUUGGGCCAGUCGUAUUCAUCACGUAUGAUGCAUCGUACAAGGGCGCGGUUUCCUGUAUGGGUGCCAUAAUGACCCUCAUAUACAACUUUGAGUACUGGCCUUGUUUGGUGCGGACCUAGGAAUUUGGCCAGGGGUCCGCCAAACGUCCUCUUGCAGAGGUCGUUGUUGAUCUGACAGUAUAGGGCGGCUUGCACGCAGAGUUUCUUCGCCUCUUUCUUGUCGUGCGGCAGCGUUCCGUCCUGUAGAUACGACACGAACUGGUUGUUCCAGUCCCAGGUUAGAUUUAAAGAAAAUACCUUAGUGUGGUCGAUGGCUGAAUGGAGGAGGGUGACCACGCUUUCCUUGUUGAUAUUUUUGGUAGCUGCGGCCGAUUUUGCCAGGCCAUCUGCUUCGAUGUUCCGUGCCCUCGGGAUUUGUUCGAAGCGAGAUUCAUCGAACGCAGCCAUUAGCCUGCGGAUUUUCAUUUGGUAUUUUUGUAUCCUUUGUUCUCUGAUUUUGUAAGUCCCAGUGACCUGGUUUACCACGAGUUGAGAAUCGCAAUGGAGGAGGAUCUAUCGAGCUCCAUAUUUGAUGGCUAGUUUCAUACCUGCAAUAACGGCCUCAUACUCGGCCUCGUUGUUAGUCAUUUUAGGGCAUCGUAUGGAUUGGCAAAUUGUUUCGCCCGUGGGGACCUCGAGGACGAGUCUUAGUCCUGAUCCAGAUGCAUUAGCGGCGCCAUCAGUGUGGAGGACCCAUAGGUUAUUACUGGGGGAGGCGUUCCGGGCCUCGCGUUCUGCCUUCAGCAGGAUUUCCACUCUGAAGUCGGCUAUAAAGUCAGUUAGGACUUGAGACUUGAUGGCGUUUCUUGGAAGGUAUGAGAUGUCGUGCUCACUGAGCUCAAUGGUCCAUCUUUCGAGCCGGCCUGAUAGUUCAGGCUUGUGUAAGACGCUCCUCAUCGGGAAGGUCGUUACCACUUUUAUAGGAUGGCACUGAAAAUAAGGUCGUAGCUUCCGUGAAGCUACUACCAGUGCUAGUGCCAGUUUCUCAAGGUGUGGGUACCGAGUUUCAGUGUCCACUAGUGUUUUGUUAAUGUAAUAGAUGGGAGACUGCGUACCUUUGUUUUUGCGCACUGGGAUGGCACUGAUGGCAACCUCAGACACGGCUAGAUACACCAUAAGUGGUUCACCUGGGCUUGCUUUGGCUAGCAGAGGCGGAGAGGAUAGGUACGCCUUCAAAUUCUGUAGGGCCUCGACGCACUCCUCAUUCCAUUGUAGCCCCUGGUCUUUUUUCAAUACGCUAAAGAAUUUAUGGCACCUGUCGGAGGAUCGUGAGAUGAAUGUGGAGAGGGUGGCUAUCCGGCCCGUCAGCUUCUAUACUUGUUUUUUGCUGCUUAGCACUUUCGAGAUUGCAUCUAUUGCUUUGAUCUGAUCUGGAUUGACCUCGAUACCCCUCUGCGAUACGAUAAAUCCACAGAGCUUUCCCGAGGACACACCAAAGGCGUAUUUCUCGGGGUUUAGUUUCAUCCCGUAUCUUCUCAACAUUACGAAGGCUUCCCUCAGAUGGUCAAGGUGGUCUUCCUUUCUUAACGACUUUACUAGCAUGUCGUCGAUAUAGACUUCCAUUGUUUUGCUUAGUUUAUUCUUAAACAUCUCGGUCACCAACCUUUGGUACGUGGCUCCCGUAUUUUUGAGUCCGAAAGGCAUUACUUUGUAGCAGUAUGUUCCUCGGUGAGCGAUGAAGGUCGUCUUCUCCGGAUCUUCUUCGGCCAUCAUGCUUUGAUUUAUCCGGAAUAUGCAUCCAUGAAGCUCAAUAGUUCGUGUCCGGCCAUUGUGUCUAUUAAUUGGUCGGUGUGGGGUACUGUGAAUGAAUCUUUCGGGCAUGCCUUGUUUAGGUGAAGUACACGCACAUUUGCCACUUCCCAUUUUUCUUCUUGACCAUAACAACAUUGGCGACCCACUCAGGGUAGUUGGAUUCCCUGAUGGAACCAUUUUCCAUUAGUUUGUCUACUUCGACACUCACCGCUUCGUUGAUGGCGGCGUUGAAUUUUCUCCUCAUUUUCCGCACGGCCGGGGUGUAGUGGAUCAACAUUCAGUUUGUGGGUGGCGAUUUUCCACAUAAUCCCUGGCAUAUCUGAAUGGGAAAAAGUGACCAAGCCUGCAUGGUUAGACAAAAUUCACCAUACUUACUUGGGUUUGAAAGGUUGUGGCCUAUGUAAGCCUUCUUCGUGAGGUCGUUGUCAUCUAGUUGAACGGGGUCGAGGUUCUCGAUCAUGGAUUUGUUGGCCUCUAUGAUAGCGGGAUCUUUGAUGGCGUCCUCUGCGGGAUGGACCUUAGUCCCCGACAGGGAUGAUUGCUAUGCUUAUGUGCUCGCCCCUUUGAGUUGUUUGGUGUGUGUGUAGUCUUGAGCUAUUUUGUAGCAUUCCUGGGCGGUGUGAGGUUCACCUCGUAUGCUGAACACCCCCACAGGGUGGGGAAAUUGAUCACUUGAUAAAAGCUGGAUGGGACUACUCUCAUGGCAUGUAUCCACGCAUGUCCAAUGAUGGCGUUGUAUCCUUUUCUUGGUUCAUCACGUGGAAAGUGUUUUCCAGCGUGACUCCAUUUUAGGGCANNNNNNNNNNNNNNNNNNNNNNNNNNNNNNNNNNNNNNNNNNNNNNNNNNNNNNNNNNNNNNNNNNNNNNNNNNNNNNNNNNNNNNNNNNNNNNNNNNNNNNNNNNNNNNNNNNNNNNNNNNNNNNNNNNNNNNNNGAAGAAAUAUUUUCAGAAAUUGCAGAUAAGUUCUUUCCACUGCAUUGUUAAAACUAGUCAGCGUUAUGCUGCGCAAUAUUAUCUUAUCCUCGAGUCCCAUAAGUGCAAGGACCCUUGGGUGGCUAAUACAGGCGCCGGUACCGUCGUCAAUCAUAAUUCUCCUAACAUCUGUAUCUACAAUAUGUAAAGUGAUGACUAAAUUAUUGUAAUGAGGAAAAGAUAAACCGUCAGUAUCAGACUUAUUAAAGGUGAUACCAUCAUCGAAGUCGUCAUAAUGUUCGUGAGCGAUGGUUUGCUUUAACUUGUGAGUGGAGGUGAAUUUGACGUGAUCGAUCGCCAAUUCAUUUCCAUCCCCGAUGAUCAUGUUAAUUGUGCGUGUCGGUGAGGGCAGCCUUGGCGGCCCAUUGGGUUGUUCCCAUCCCCGUGCAAAGUUGAGUUUUCCUUUAUCGCCAAGUAGUUCUCUCAGGAACCCUUGGUUCAGCAUCCUGACCACCUCCUGCCGUAGACCUAUGCAGUCUUCGAUUUUAUGCCCUCGCUCCUGGUGGAACUCACAUAGGGCGUUGAUUUUUGGGUGGUAGGGUCUGACUUCAUCUGUAUGCCCUCGCUCCUGGUGAAACUCGCAUAGGGCAUUUGACUUUCUGGUGGUAGGGUCCGACUUCAUCUUUGCUGGCCAUUGUACCUUAUUGCCCAGCUUCUCUAGCGCGUACACUACCUACGAAGGAGAAACACAUAAGUUAUGUGCAGAUAAUAAAGGGGGCAUACCUCGCUCAUUUCGUAGGGGGCGACAUGUCGCUGUAGUGCUUCUGUGUGCCUUGGUAUCCGCGGAUAAGAUGAUCUGACAUAUGGUUGAUAUCUUUCCCUGUUGGGAUGCGGUAUUUGUUCUCGUCGCCCUUCAUUGCACCGGUCCCUCCUGACUUUGGGAGUGUCAUCGUUAGUCGCCGGGUAGGACCGUUGAGGUCGUAUUUAUCCGCACGCACCUCGGCAUAGUAGGCAUUGUAGAUUUCUUCCCAAGUGGUGGGAGGGUACUUCAUGAGGCGACUUAGCAGUUUCUUGGUCGCCCUCGACCUGUCCAUGCUUAGCCCGUUGCGAAAAGCGGCGACUUCCAUACCUUCCAAUACGUUUGGUAGGCUCAUUCUCACCUUGUUAAAUCUGGCCAGGAAGUCCAUGAUCCCUUCUCACAUGCUUUUCCGAACAACGAAGAUGUCGUUGACUCUUGCCUCUGCUUUAUUUGCUCCUGCAUGUGCUGUGAUGAACUUUUCUGCCAAUUCCUCGAGCGUGGAUAUGACCUUAACCGGUUCUGGAAAGCGGAGACUGCUAUGCCUUCUGAUAUGUUUGGUAGGCUCAUUGUCACCCUGUUGAAUCUGGACAGGAAGUCCCUGAGCCCUUCUCCGAUGGUUUUCCGAACAGAGAAGAUGACAUUGACCCUUGCCUCUGCUUUCUUUGCUCAUGCAUGUGUUGUGACGAACUUGUCCGCCAUUUCCUCGAACGUGAAGAUGCCGCCGGUAGCUUGGAGUACCAUGUCAAAGCUCCGUCUGUCAAUGUUUCGCCGAACUUCUUCAGAAUCACGGACGGUACUUGUUCUUUUGCCAAAUCGUUACCUUUCACAUCUGUACCGUAAUGGAUUAGAUGGUCCUCGGGAUCCGUAGUCCCGUCGUAUACCCUCAUAUAGGGAGGCAUUUUGAAGAUCUUUAGGAUAGAGUAUGGUACGGCCUCAUUUGUGUAAGGUUGUUCCACAAACCUACCUAAAUAGUGCUUUGGCAGCAGUUUAGGAGCACUCGGGAUCUUGUCUACCCUUUCUUGAUGUUCCUUCAUUUGGUCAUGGAGCGACUUAUUUUCUUGUUCCAUUUCCCCCAUCUUUCUGAGGAUGGCUGUGAGUGCUCCGCUGUUGGUUUAAGUGUCGGUGAGCACAUUGUUUGCUCACGCGACCUUGGGUUCAUCUUCGGCUGCAGUGAGAUCCAUUACUGGCGUGCAUCUUACGCCAUAUUGUGGUGACUUUUCGACCAAGUCGCUUAGAGUGCUUGUUAGCCACUCUUUCAGUAGCUCCUUGACUUCUGGGGUGCUCCCUAAGAUGUAGAUGUGGAAGCUCCCCUUUCUCGCGAACCCGUAAGAUCCCUGGGUGGAGGAGGUUGGUUUCCUCAACUCUUCGCGGUGCUGGGGGUUGCAUUCAAGACGUUAUCUUCACCCUGGGGGUGCUUCCUUUGAUGUAGAUGUGGAAGCUCCCCUUUCUCGUGGAUUUGUCAGAUCCCUGGGUGGAGGAGGUGGGGUUCCCCCACUCAUCGUGGUGGUGGGGGUUACGGUCAAUAUGUUAUCUUCACCUGCUUCAUUGAGAGAAUCCGUGAUAUUGACCCCAACCUCGUUUAUCGCUUUCUUUAUUGCUCAGUUGUGAGCCAUGCUCGUUCGUGUGAUGUUGAGGAUCGUUGUCAGUUGUUUUCUAGGCACAAACUAUAACUUUUAUUCUCGAAAUCCUCACAGACAGUGCCAAAUUGUUUGGCUCAAAAGGUAUACACGCUUUGUAAGAUUAAAACAAUCAAAAAAGUAUACGGGUAAUGCUAAUAGUAGAGAGAGAAAGUAGAGUGAUAUUAUUGCUAAGAAUAAUGCACACAUUCCAUUACAGGUUAAAUGUCUCAUCUAUAUAUUAGGAGACCUUUCUCGAAAUAAUCAAAGAAAAGUACAAAAGUUGGUGCCUUCCUCGUACGAAGGAAGUCAAGCCUUAAACGACGUUGUUACUCCACCUAGUUGAUUAGGACGUCCUUGCUCGGGACGUCCUUGCCUGGGUCGACACGAUUCGAGGAUGGCUUUGUCAUGAAAGGCGUGUCUGCUUAGUACGGGAACGGGGCGAGCCGUAUUUUACCUCAUACAAUGACAAAUUUGGUAAAUGAUUCCAAUAUUCUGUGCAUGAAAAUAGAUCAAGAAAAGAGAAAGAGCCGAAAAAAAAAGAAAUGGAUCGGAAUGCAAUGAAGUGUCCAAAGGGAUCAAGAAAAGAGAAAGAGUUGAAUGAAAAUCAAAUAAUAUCCGAGAUCAAAGACAAAUCAAGGGAGCAAUAACCAGACAACUCAACAUUCAUGAAGAUCUAUCGCCCAAAAGGAAAGAUAGAGAGAUCAACUCUCAAUCAAUAUAUUUGCCAAAGAAUCCCUUAGAAGAAUAUGGCAAACACAAGGAGAUCGCGUUUGUUAUAUGAAUCCAGUCUUCACAUAUGGACUGGAUUCAGAGACAUCCCUUGGGCCUAUCUCCUAGAAAAAUACUUGCCUUAAUAAAAGGAAUAUCUUAAAUUUCGCUCACAAUCGGUGAGAUCUUCAGAACUCAAGACAUCAACCACUGCAUAUAUGAAGAACUCGAAGAAGGAGAGAAUAGAUGUGAAACUUCACAUACAAAGUUUUCUUCAUAUUUCUAGUUCUUAGUCAAACACUGUAUUCUUGAGUUUACAAAUGUCAUAAAAAUAUAGAGAAAAAGAAAAACAUUCAAGAGACUGAGUCAAGAUGUUGAUAUAAACUCGUCUACUUUUCGUUGGUGGUAAAUGACGGAAAACCACCCUCAUUUUAACGAACUGUUUUUAAAAAUCUAAGAGAACCCUUGUGGCCCAAGAAAACUGGAUAUACUUACCAUACUGAUACAGGAACCGGUAUAAAACCCUGCGUCUUAUUUAAGCUUUCAUUUGUUAAUUUUCCUCAUCUCUAUUCUACUCUAAUCUCUUCUCUACAUAAAAAAGAGUCGACUAAUAUCAGACUUGGUCAACUAAUUUUUAUUUAGUACAAGUCAUCCCUCCCUUCUUGUAUUUCAUGAUAGAAUAUUUAAACAAAAUUCUGUUCAGGUUUCUUGUAAAUAAGGGAAUUUGGAAACGUCGGCCACUUUAAAUAAAACGAGAUAAAAAAAAACACUAACACUUGCUCCUCUUGCAUUUACAGUGACAUGAAUAUUAUAUUGCCCAACAAUUGAACAGUUAGUGAUCUAGUAGCUAUUGUAUAAUAUUUAGUGUUGCUGUGUAUGUGAAAAUCAACCUAGAAACCUUAGAUUUUUAUGCGCUAAUAUAUUUGAUGCAUAAGUGAUAUUGUAUGUGUGAAUAAAGUCCCACAUUGGUAGCUGAAAAGAUUGGGAGCCUACAUAUAAUGUGUGAGAUCUCUUAAUGGUGUGAGGUCUUUUGGGGAAAAUAGUGCAGGCUUGGCCCAAAGCGGACAAUAUCACACAAUAUUAAGAGUAUCAUUGGAUUAUUUUAGCGUAACAACUGGUAUCAGAGCCCACGUUUAGCGAGACGAGUAUGCUGAUGGAAGGAUGAUUAUGCGGGUCAUGGAUUCUUACCCUUACGAUCUUAGAGACGCACAUACAAGAAGAAGCGAUUGCUAUAAAUACUCUAACAAUGUGCGUGACACACAGUGAAUCAAAAAUUGACCUGUAGAUUAUGAUAAUGGUCCACGUGGAACUUAGUAUUACGAGUCUACAUAUACGGUUUAGGGAUCUCUUAAUAGUGUGUGGCCUUUUGGGGAAAACCAUGCUAGCUUGGCAUAAAGUAGAUAAUAUAUAUUAGGAAGAAUGAUAAUGUAUAGCCGUGGUAAAAUAAUAGCCAAACAAAUAAAUAAAAUUUAUAUAUUUUCUUAUAUAUAUAUAUAUACAUUAUGUAUCUUAUAUACAAAAAAACUAUAUAAAUUUUAUAUAAUUUUUCAGCUAACAGAUGUAAAAAAAAUUUGGCGCAAGCUAAAAGUGAUAAGGGAUUUUUUCCUAUCUAUACCAUAUAUCAAACCUUAUUCCCAAAAAUAUUCAUAGUUUGUUAUUUACCUGUGUUAUCCACAUUUUUUCUCCAAAUUAUAUACCAAUCCAAAAAUAGAUAGAUUUUCCCAUAAAUAACGCGCUAAAAUGAAGGCACCAGAUCUGAGUGUGAUUCAAUCAACAUUAAGUACAAAAUUCGAAACGGAAGGAGAUCUCAAAGUUGAAAAAAUCUGUUCUUCCUUAUAUUUUCCACCAUUGAUAGCCAUUAAAAAGCUUGAAAGCUUUGAAUUCAAAUUUGGGUUUUNNNNNNNNNNNNNNNNNNNNNNNNNNNNNNNNNNNNNNNNNNNNNNNNNNNNNNNNNNNNNNNNNNNNNNNNNNNNNNNNNNNNNNNNNNNNNNNNNNNGUAAAUAAUUCAAAAUAUAUUUAGGAGUUUAUAUCUCAAUUUUGAGGGGUUUUGGUGAAAAUUAGACUUGGUUUUGACUGAAUUUCAUAUUGAAACUAGUCGAAGAAGAAGAAAUAUUUUCAGAAAUUGCAGAUAAGUUGUAGAUAAAUUGUAGAAAUGUAGAUAAAUUGUAGAUAAUUUGUAUAUAAUUUGUAGAUUGAGAAGACUAAAACUUCUACAAGUCUUCUACAAUUAUGUCGAAAAUGUCAAUUAUGCUACAAUUGAAAUGGGAAUUGGGAUAUUAAAAUUCAAUGCAUUCAGUUUGUAGAUAUCUUUUAGAUAAACUUUCUACAAAUAAACUACAAAAUCAGUUACAUGUGUAUAAAGCAGUAUUUGUAUUUAAGAGUAUCAACAAAAUUACUACAUUUAUACUACAAUUAAACUAUAGUCUUCUGUCAAAAAAAAAUAUUGACAACAAACUUUCAUAUCUACCUUUUUUCCAACUCAUAUCCUACUUAUGAUUCAGGAAAACAAUUCAUUAAAUAUUAAGAUGGCUAUGUUUCAUAUUGCAACAUUGGUUCGUCAAUAUAUUUUUGAGGAGUCCACCAGAAAAUGGAUUGUCAAUGUGAGAAAUAAUGGAGAAGAAUAUUUUGGCGAUGUCGAGAAAUAUUCCAGUAUAUUUCUUGUGCUGGCAACGGGAGAAUUUGUGGAGUCGUAACAAAUACGAUUUCAUUUGGAAUGGAGAAGAGAAGAACAGAGAAGAGAAAAAAAUGGGAGAGAGAAAACGGCCAGGUCAGAUCUUGGGAAUUAAAAGGAGAGAGAAACGUGAGAUAUAUGGACACCUUUAAUUAAGGAGUAAAAAACUGCCUAUUAAUUAUAUUUCUAAAUUAAUUAUGGUAUAUAAAUGGUAAUAUGGUAUGCUUAAAUGUAAUAAACACAAACCUUAAAUAUUAAGGGUAAUAAGGUUUGAUAUAUGGCAUAGGUAUAUAAAAAUACCAAGUGAUAAUAUCCCAUAAUAUUACACCAUGUUAAUUAAGAGUCAUUGGGCUAGAUUAGCCAACAGUAUCGAAGUGAAAUUAUCGAAACAAAGUACACAAAUCAGUUUUCUUGUGAGCAUUUUCGGAUUAUCCAAAGAGUUAAGUUCCAAAAAACAUUUCAUUUCAGUAACUGCAAAUAAUGAUACAAAGAUGUUGAAAGUAGUAGAACUUAAAAAGGGAGCUGAACUUUGUAUUAUUUAUGAUUUGGUUAGUUUGUUAAGUAAGUAAUUAGUGGAGUAGUUAAUUAGUUGGUAAAACUAAAGCAUAGGUAUCGUAUAUAUUAAUCACAUGUACUUCAUUUUCUUUUUAGAGCUUCAUUGAAACAGUUCCAAAACUGAGUCUCUUUCUUCUCUUCUCUCUCUAUCUAUGUAUGUCAUCUUCUUCGUCUCUCAAGCCAUGGAAUCCGAGAUUCUCAAGGUUAAGCGGCAUUUGAGUGAGGUAAUCUCUGAGAGAGAUGCCCUCCGGGUAGAGGUGGUUUCGAUCGGGCGUCACCUCGAAGAAGUGAGGGCUGAGAGCAAUAAGAAUAAGGAUCCCCAUACUGAGUUGGUUACUACGCUAUCCGAGGUCAGGACUGAGCCCAAGGCGCUAGUGACCUCACAUAAGCAGGACACCGCUACUGCAAAUGCUCAAGAUCGGAAGGUGUCCGAAGAGGUCAAGCUGCGCGCCUAACCUGAGAAGUGGAGCAUGCCCGGUUAAAUAUUGGAGACAGAUGCUCGAGGAUAUAUAUAGGGGGACAUUGAUUUAGUCGCCGAGUUUUAGAGGAUGAAGACCAUGGAAGAGGAAUUUGUGGCCCUGCUUCCUUCUGAAAGCGAGUGAAGUAGUGACUUGGGAGGUGAUAAAGAUAUAGGCGAAGUCCCUGAAGGGGAGGAGGCCGUUGGAAACCCGGAGGUUAUGCCGAAGCUGAUGAAAGUGUACUUUCUGAGGAGGCCGUCGAAGGCGUAGCUCCAGUGAUAGAUUAAGGUUUUCAUUUGCUUUCUGCCUUUGCAAGGACUCCAGAUGUAUGCUUUGUAAUUGUACUUCUAUGAAUCUUUUUAUGUGUGUCAACUCUUUACCUUUAUAUGUUUUCCCUUUGGACGACUUGUGGCAUUCGUUUGGCAAUUGACCCGAAGUUGUGGAUCUCAAAUUAAAACCCUUGGGUUCAUGCUACCGUCGAGCAUUUUGCAAUGUGUUGAGAAUCGACUUGUAAGUCUAUCGUGUUGGCUCUGAGGCUAUUUGUACGGAUUUUUUAUAUUCUCAUGUAUCGGGUCGGUACGACCUUCAAUAUAAACGGAUGCUUGGGUUUUUGCGCUUUUUGCCUUUAGGCCUUGUUUAGUUAACUGUUUCGGGUUCAAUCCUUGAGUCAGACUUUGACUCAAGCUGAUUGACUCUUAAGUUUUUUUAUUAUUGGGCUGGCUAGCAGGCUCUUACAUGUCAGGUCGGUACGACCUUUUAAUGUAAGUUAGCGUCUUAGGCUCUUAGGCAUAUUCAGUUAACUGCUUAGGAUUCAGUCUCCGAAUCGGGUUUCAACUCGAGCUCAUUGACCCUUAAGUUUUUGAAUUUAAAUCUGGCCCUUAGACUCUUAUGUGUCGGGUCGAUACGACCUUUUAAUGUAAGCUGGCAUCUUAGUCCCUUACGCAUUGGGUUGGUACGACCCUUUAUAUGGGCUAGCGACAAUGGAUCUUACUCAUUGGGUCGGUAUGACCCUUUAUAUGGGCUAGCGAUAGUGGCUCUUACGCAUUGCAUAGGCAAGACCCUUUAUAUGGGCUUGGGACUGUGGCUCUUACGCAUUGGGUUAGUACGACCCAUUAUAUGGGUUGGCGAUAGUGGCUCUUAUACAUUAGGUCGCUAUGACCUCUAAUAUAGGCUUUAUUUUUCCCUUGUUAAGGGCUUUUUUGAAAUUAUGUUUGCCUGACUCUUCGACGGUUCGAUAAAAACCUUGAUUGUGAGUCGCUAUGUGGCGAUGAACGAGCACAUCGGGAGGUUUUGGUCGGUGCUGAGUGUUUCGAAUCCUAUAGUUUAGAGCUAACAUAGUCGAAUCUCUUUUGCCUAUGUCGAUGGUAGCCUGUUUAACCGGUUCUUUUUGAAGUAAUUGAAGGCUUGUGAUUAUAUAACGACGGUUGGGCAUCUCUGAGUCGCAUUAGUUUGGCUGGUACAUCCUUGUAAUCGUAUUCAUUGUGUUUGGCCGGAGCCUUACAGUCCCCGGGUGAAAUAGUUUCGGCGUCUAUAUUGAGGGUAUACCUUCUUAGGGGUCUUACAAGUUCGAACAUAUAGCCUUAACUUUAAGGUCGGGAUAAUGCAUUUCUGUAAGGUCUUAUAAUUUUUACAUGCAUUUGAGGUCUUAAAGUCUUGGUUACGUGGUACAAGUAUUGUUCAUAUCCUUGCUUGACGUCUUACAGUUUUGGUUACUUGGUAUAAGUAUGGUUCAUGCCUUGCUUUAGGCUUACUAUUUUGGUUACUUGGUACAAGUAUGGUUCAUGCCUUAAUUGAAGUCUUACAGUUUUUGGUGUUGCCUUAUAAAGGUCUUACAGGGUUGAUGAUGCCCCUAUGGGGUCCUACAACCUCGGGUUUUGAUAAGUCCAUGGGAUGGCAAUUGGCUGUGGUCCCCGAGACAUUAAAAGUUUUCUUGGCUUUGGAGCCAUUUUUGUAGACUUGACGUUGCCUCAUUGAGGGCUUGCGAGUUUGAAGCUUCCGAACCGAGGGUCAUACGGUUUCGAGUUUUUGACGCUAGUCCCUGAGUGUUGGAACAUUUUUGGCUUUUUGAGCCAUUUUUGUAACCUUGAUGUUUCUUCAUUGAGGGCAUACGAGUUCCAAGCUUCCGACCCGGAGGUUAUAUGCUUCGAAUUUUUGACGCCAAUCCCCGAGUGUUGGGGAUAUUUUGGGCCUUGGGGCCAUUUUUGUAAACUUAAUAUUGCCUAUUUGAGGGCUUACGAAUUAUAAGUUGUCGGCCCGGAGGUCAUAUGGCUUCGAGUUUCUGACGUAAGUCCCCGAGUGUUUGAGACGUUUUUGGUUCUGGAGCCGCUUUUGUAAAAAAUAGCAAAUUUCUUUGAAACGUGAAAUGCUUUGAUGGGGUGUAUGUUCUUUGGUUGCUUGAUACAAGUAUACAUGUUCUCGCUGUCAGAGGCUCGAUUACUCUAUAUGGGCAUGGUUCGUUCGACUGUUUGGCCCGACAUAUCAUUUUCCUAUCGUGACCAUAUUUAGCACGUUUUGGCUUCUCUGAGAAGGUGACCUUGCUGAGGGGAUGCCCCCCAGUAUUUGAGGUUAAUUGAAGAGAACCCUUGAAUACUAGUUGAGUCUUCUUUAGGUAGCAUAUAGAUGUUGCCUCGUUAAAAACCUUGUCAGUAAAAAACCGUUUUUUGGGAUGAAAAACCCGAUCGAAGAAAAAGAGUGCAACGCAUGUCUUCGAAAUCUAGGGUCGUUGAGCUUUUAGCAGUAGUAGAUCUGAGCAUUGAUACAUUCCAAUUUCUUGGAAGUUGUUUGCAUUCCAUGGUGUCGGGUUUGUAGGACCCUUUGCCAACUACCGCGAGGACGUGGUAUUGUCCUUCCCAUUUCUGACCUAGAUUUCAUUCAUUAGGAUUUCGAGUAUUCAAGGUGACUUUCCUUAUAACUAAGCCCUCAAUACCAAAAUGUCAGAGAUUUGAUCCUUUGUUUUGUGCGGGUAUUCGGACCAGCGAGGCUUCUCGCUUUUCAUCUAAUAGUUCGAUAGCAAUAGUCAUGCCCUCAUUUUUCGAGCUCUCGGUAGUGUGCUGGAAUCUGGCGGUAGGUUCUCCGACCUCGACUGGUAUCAAAGCCUCGAUGCCAUAUACCAGGGAGAAAGGAGUUUCUCCCAUGCUUUAUUUUGGAGUUGUUCGAUAUGCCCAGAGCACUUCGGGUAAUAUUUAUCUCCAUCUUCCCUUUGCGCUUUCCAACUUCUUCUUUAAGUUUUGAAUGAUGGUUUUGUUUGUGUACUAGGCUUGGCCGUUGGCGUAUGGGUAGUAGGGCGUUGACAUGAUCCUUUUUAUCUUGUGGUCAUCGAGGAACUGAGUCACUUUGUUUCCGAUGAAUUGCUUCCCAUUACCACAUGUUAUUUUUUAAGGAAUUUCGAAUCGGAAAAUGAUAUUGUCCCAGAUGAAAUUAAUGACUUCUUUUUCUCUCACUUUUUCAAAGGCAUGUGCUUCAACCCAUUUUAAGAAGUAGUCAGUCAUAAAUAAAAAAAAUCUAGCUUUACCUGGUACCAUUGGUAGAGUUCCAACGAUGUCCAUCCCCCAUUUCAUGAACGUCUAUGGCGAUAAAACUGAAUGUAGUUUUUCACCGGUAAGCAUUGAGGGGAAUCUUUGGUAUUUAUCGCAUUUGCGGAAGAAUUAUUUUGUAUCAUUCUCCAUGUUGUCCCAAUAGUAGCAUGCCGUGAUUAUUUUUUUGAAUUAAAGAAUCGCCACCAGAGUGAUUUCCGUAGUCGCCCUCGUGGAUCUCUCGGAGCACAUAGUGUGUAUCUCCCAGCCCCAGACAUACUACUAGAAGGCCAUCAAAAGUUCUUAUGUAAAGAGUUUAUGUUUUUCGUCGAGCGAGAAUAGAGCUGCUUUGGUUCGUAGGGCCCUCGACUCUUUUGGGUUCGCGGGUAGCUUCCCGCUCUCCAAAUAAUCGAUAUAUUUAUUUCUCCAAUCCCAUGUUAGGCUAGUGGAGUUGAUCUCGUCAUGGCCUUUCUCGAUCACUGAUUUGGAUAGUUGAAAAACAAACCCGGGGAGUAUGUCAUCUUCCUUGAUAGAUGAUCCACGUUUGCGAGUGCAUCUUCUUCGCUAUUCUCCUCACGAGGUAUGUGGACCAGAGUCCAUUAUCUGAAGCUGUGCAAUGUGAUUUGAAUUUGUCUAGUUAUAUUUACAUCCUAUCUUCCCGAGCCUCGAAGCUCCCAUUUACCUAAUUUACCACCACGAGGGAAUCGCAUUUUGCUUCAACGACUUCAGCUCCUAAGACUUUGGCCAAUUCCAAGACUACAAUCAUAGCCUCAUACUGGGAUUCAUUAUUAGUUAACCUUGUUGUCUUUAUAGAUUUCCUAAUCACGCUGCCAAUAGGUGCCCUUGGAAUUAUGUCGAGCCUGGACCCUCUUAGGUUCGAGGAACCAUCAGUGAAUAGGGUCCAUAUCCUGGAAUAUGUGCCCAUUUUUAGAAAAAUUUCUUUCUUGACCUCGAGUACGAGGGAGGGAGCGAAAUCGUCUACAAAGUCUACCAAAAUGUGAGACUUGAUAGCUGUUCGGGACUGAUAUUCGAUAAUCAUAUCCCCCCGAGUUCGAUGGCCCAUUUGUCUAGUCGGCCUGAUAAUUCAGGUUUAUGCAAUAUGCAUCGAAGGGGAUAUCUUGUUAAUAUGCAAAUACGAUGGCAUUGGAAGUAAGGUUUCAAUUUUCGAGACGCACUUAUUAAUGUAAGAGCUAGUUUUUCCAUGUGCGGAUACCUGGUUUCGGAGUCACCCAUGGUUUGACUUACUUAAUAAACAAGUAAUUGCGUACCUUGUUCUUCUCAGACCAACACACCACUUACCGCUAUCUCGGAUAUGGCCAGGUAUAAAUACAAUGUCUCAUCCUCUUUUAGGGUAUGGAGCAAAGGCAGGUUUGUAAGGUAUCGCUUUAGUUCCACUAAAGCGCGUUGGCAUUUUGGAGUCCAUUCGAAGUUUUAUUUUUAUUAAGGAGAAGAAAUGGUGACUUCUAUCUAGCGACCUUGAUAUAAACCACCCAAGGCUGCUAUCCGCACAAUUAGUCGAUGCACGGCCUUUACGUUAUUUACCAUCGUAAUUUCUUCGGUGGCUUUGAUUUUAUCGGGGUUGAUCUGGAUUCCUCUGUUUGAUACCAUGAAACCUAAGAAUUUUCCUGAUCCUACCCCGGAGGCAUACUUCUCAAGAUUGAGUUUCAUGUAGUAACUUCUGAGGAUGUUGAAUAUUUCUUGCAAAUAAAUUAAAUGGUCCUCUAUGCACAGGGACUUAACUAGCAUAUCGUCAAUAUAAACUUCCAUGGUCUUGCCUAUUUGAUGCUCGAACAUCUUAUUAACUAGGCGUUGGUAUGUGGCCCUUGCGUUUUCUAGCCCGGAGGGCAUUACAUUGUAACAAUACGCACCGUACUUCGUGAUGAAUGAAGUCUUUUCUCUAUCAGGGUUCAUCUUAAUUUUAUUAUACCCCGAAUAAACAUCCACAAAAGUGAGGGUAUCAUGGCCGGCCGUGGCGUCCAUCAAACGAUCAAUGUUGGCUAGUGGGAACGAGUCCUUUGGGCACGCGCUGUUUAAAUCUUUAUAAUCUAUGCACAUUCUUAGUUUAUUUCCUUUUUGGGAACUACCACCAUAUUGGCCAUCUAUUCAGGAUAUUUUACUUCCCUAAUAGACCCUAUUUUGAGGAGCUUCGUUACCUCGUCUUUGAUAAAUGCAUGCAUUUUCUUGGACUGGGUUUCCUUUUUUUCUUCACCAAUUUAUACCUCGAGUUGACACUUAGUCGAUGGGUAGUUAUCUCCGGUGGGAUCCCUCUCAUGUCUAAAUGGGACCAAGAAAAGAAAUCGAUGUUGUUAAUAAGGAACUGGUUGAGUUUUGUCCUGAGUUUAGGAGUUAAUCUCGUCCCCAUGUAUACUUUCCGAUCUGGGAGAUGCUCGAUCAAUACAGCUUGCUCCAGUUCUUUAAUGGUCCACCUUGUUGGAUCCGAUUCUUCUGGGGAAAUGAAGGUUCUGAGAGCGAGGAAAUCCUCUUCAUCAUCCUCGGGGGUUUGAUGGCUACCAACUCUUCUGAGCCAGAGUGUGCAAAAUUUGGUACCUCUUCAUGGACCGCGACCAUUCCUUCAUCAAAUGUUGCUCCCCAUACACCGUCUUUAUUAUGUCCUUUGUUGGAAACUUUAUCAUUUGAUGCGAUGUUGAUGGUACCGCAUUCAUGUUAUGUAUCCACGGCCUACCGAUCAAGGCAUUGUACCCCCUGUCAACUUUAAUGACGUGGAAUCCAGUAUUUUGAACUGCAUCAGAUAUGUUAACCGGGAGGCUGAUCUCCUCUUCUAUUGAUUCACCAGCCAUAUUGAAGCCGUUAAGGAUUCGGGAGGUAGGUAUGACCUGAUCGAGUAAUCCGAGCCUUAUACCACCAUUGAUCUAAUUACGUUGGCUGAGCUACCUAGAUUCACGAGUACAUGUUUAAUUUGGACGUAAUUUAAAAGAAAUAAGAUUACCAGUACAUCGUUGUGUGGUUGAGAUAAAGUCUCGAAGUCUUCUUCACUGAAUACGAGGGUGUCCUCAAAUGCACAACCUCGAGUUUCUCCUUGUGAUUGCCGCAGAAAAUUUUAUCCACUUGAUCACAGGCCCAUGGGGAACGUCGGUCCCCCCCCCCCCCUAAUCAUAUGAACGGUGUGUUGAGGCUUUCCUACUUUGCUUCCCCGGUUUUCCUCUCUUUCUUCCUGGGUAAGGUUUUUUCGAAUGUCUUGUUGAUUUUAUCAGGGUAUAUUCCUGCUGGUAUGGGAACUUAUGCCGAUAUAUUUAGUGUUGCGUGAGACCAUAUCAAUGGGAAUUGGUUCCGGUGUAACCUCAGGGUUUUGCGGUGGUACACCGUUACCUGGAACAGUCGCACCAUACUCUCUAUGGUCUUCGAGACCGUUGUCAUGUGCAUUUGCUGAGUCAAUCAUUUCUACCUAAAAUCAAAGAUUCUUGGACGAGAAAAAGUGUGAAAGAUAACUAGCAUUAUGUAGUAAACCAAUAAGAAAACAAUCACUAUUAUUCUUAGCCCCAUGGUGGGCGCCGAACUGUUUACCUUGAAAAUGGUAAUAAUAAUUAGAUUUUAUUUUAUGGUUCUAAAAAUAUGUGAUCUUUUUGUAUGCUAGUAGUUAGGAAAUAGAUGUUGAAUGAAAGAUUGGAAGAUGAGAUAAGAGCUGGUAGGUAGCGUGACAAUCAAACCAAAUGGUUGGAAAUCGGGGCCUCGAGCUUGUGUAUACGGGGCCUCGAGGUCGAGUCGGAUGGCCAAUUAAAGGCGAUCGAUGGAGGAUCAACAGUUAUGAAAAAUUUGAUUGUGGCUCCUUAUGACCAAUAAUGAAUAAUAAAAUGAAUAACAAUAAAUGGAACAGAAUGAAUAUAAGCAACAAAUGUAUGUAUCAAGAUAGUGAGUCCAAGUUAGAGAUCAGAGAGAAUGUUCUUGUAUUGAAUGUUUUGGUGUAGUAUAUAUAUCUUUUACCAAAAUGACAAGGGUCCCUUUUAUAUAUGAGGGUAAAAUCUCAAUAUGACAUAUGCAUAAUUAUUACAUAAAGUAGCGGGUACAACCACCCAAUCAGCCUAGUGCAGGAUGUCACUGUUUGCGCAUGCAUUAUAAAACAAAUACUGCUCCUAGGGAACUGGAAGACACCACCCGCGUAAUCCAAUCUGAACAGGAGUCGGAGAGAGUGAUGGCUACUCUUAUGGAGGCGAGGAUCGAUGAGAGGAUUAGCACGAUUGAUCAGGAGGCUACGGUUCUGGGAGAUCGGAUCGCGACACUAGAGGUGGAGAAUGAGCGACUAAAGGUCAGGUUGAAUAAUCACCUGCUUCCGUUCCUUGCCAAGUGCAUGAGCUCUAGGUUUAUGCCGAAGCCCAGAAGGAUAUAUAUAAGGGUCUGUGGGAAGAAGGAACUUUGGCUAAGGUUGCCUAUGAAGAAGUGUGAGCGAAAGCUCGUGAGGCUCGCAUCAACUGUGGAUACGAUGCGGCAACGCCCGAAGCUAAUGGGGGUGUGGAUGGUGAUAAUGGUGAACUUCAUGGAGAUGGUGAUGAAAGUGAUGAUGAUGUUGGCAUGAUGACACCAAAAGAAGAAUGGUGUCUUUCAUAUUUAUUUUUGUUUUGUUCGUUGUUUGUCGUUUGUUCAUUUCUUUUUUCUUUCAUUGGUUGGCCGCGGCCAUAUGUAGGCGGCAGUAGCCCGCGCUAUGACUUUGCAUAAAUAAAAGUUCUCCUACUCUAUAUAUUCCUUGUACCUUUUUUUAUUUCAACUAUUCAUGGCUUUGGUGCAAGAUGGAGACUCGCCUGACGAGUCCCAGUUUUGAAGGGUGUUAUUUCAAACUUCUCAAAAUAACAGCCCGUCGUCGUUCGAUCGAGGUUGAACCUUCCUUUUAGAUGGUGAAUGCCUUUGGCAAAAAAGGGUUUUAUUUCAAACUUAUCGAAAUAACAGCUCGUCGUCAUUCGAUCGGGGUCAAACCUUUCUUUUAGUAUGGUAAAGGCCCUUGGCCUUAAAGGGUGUUAUUUAGAACUUAUAGAAAUAACAACCCGUCAUAGUUUGAUUGGGGUCAAACCUUUCUUUUGUGAUGGAGAAGGCCCUUGGCCUUAAAAGGUCCCUUGGCCUUAAAAGGUGUUAUUUCAAACUUAUCAAAAUAACAUCCGGACGUCGUUUGAUCGGGGUCAAACCUUUCUUUUCUGAUGGCGAAAGCCCUUAGCUUGUCCUUUAAGGGUGUUAUUUCAAACUUAUCUAAAUAAUAGCCCGUCGUCGUUUGCUCGGGGUCGAAUAUUUCUUUUCUGAUGGCGAAGGCCCUUGGCCUUAAAGGGUAUUAUUUCAAACUUAUCGAAAUAACCGCGCAUCGUCGUUCGAUCGAGGUCGAACAUUUCUUUUCUGAUGGCGAAGUCUUUUGGCCUUAAAGGGUUUUAUUUCAAACUUAUCGAAACAACAGCCCGUCAUCGUUCGAUUGGAACCUUUUUAUUCUGAUGGCGAAGGCCCUUGGCCUUAAAGUGUAUUAUUUUGAACUUAUCAAAAUAACAUCACAUAUUAUUUGAUCGGGGUCGAACUUUUCUUUUCUGAUGGUGAAGGACCUUGCCUUAAAGGGUGUUAUUUCAAACUUAUUUGAAUAACAGCCCAUUGUCGUUCGAUCGAGGUCGACCUUUUUUUGUGAUGGCGAAGACCUUUGGCCUUAAAGGGUGUUAUUUCGAGUUUUUCGAAAUAAUAACCCAUUUUCGUUUGAUCGCGGUCGAACCUUUCUUUUCUAAUGGCGAAGGCCCUUGGCCUUAAAGGGUGUUAUUUUGAACUUAUCAAAAUAAUAGCCAGUCGUCGUCCGAUUGGGGUCGAACCUUUCUUUUGUGAUUGUUAAGGCCCUUGGCCUUAAAGGGUGUUAUUCGAACUUAUCGAAAUAACAGCAUGUCGUCGUUCGAUAGAGGUCGAACCUUUCUUUUCUGAUGGUAAAGGCCUUUGGCCUUAAAGGGUAUUAUUUCGAGCUUAUCGAAAUAACAACCCUGUCGUCGUUCGAUCGGAUUCGAACCUUUUUUUUUCUGAUGGCGAAGUCCAUUGGCCUUAAAGGGUGUUAUUUUGAAGUUCUCGAAAGAACAGUCCGUCGUUUGUCCCAGAUUCUGGAGAGUUAGGGGUCUUUUGUAGUAAUCCUAGUUUGUUUGGUAUUGCUUGCAUCAGAGGGUGCAACUUCUGUGGAUAGGAGGCGUUAAUAUCUGGUAUAGGCUCGUGUUGUGCACAUUAUAGCUUUCUUGCCUAGCUCCAGCAGUUCGUAUCAGAGAUGUUGCUAGUAGGGCUUUGGCUGUAUCGAAGUAGUCUUUGUUCUUCCAUCUAGCUACCCUUGUGUUUGUUCGUUCAUGAGGACCUUAUGUGCUUGCCCUAGCGAAGGGUGGUGAGAUUUUCUUCACUCCCGUCCGGUGGUUCGGUGGGGGAGAGCUUUCGAAGUACCAUUUUCCCAAUUUAGAAGAUUUGCAGCUAUUGGGGUAGGGAAUUUCAUUUUCGGUAAACCCGCUCGGCUCUCAUUCCCUUAACGCGCUGUAUUCGUGUCUCACGCGAGUUAGAUUCUACCUUUGUGCUUCUUUCGGUGAUUGAUUGUGUUUUUUAGCUUUGAUCUGGGAAAAACUAUGAGUUUUCACUGAUAAAUUCCCAGAGACGGUGCCAAAAUAUUUGACUCGAAAGAUGUUAAGACCUAUUUGAGUAAAUCAAUCAAAGAUGAGAGGGUAAAUCGUAGCCAAAUCGAAUAAACUCCGGAUCAAAACAUUAAUGAUGAUGAGUAUAAAUAAGACGAAAAAAGAUGAUUCAUCUUACUAGAAUUGAACAUUGUCUUUCUUAUCCAUUUGAUGAAAGAGAUAGGUUUACAAGUAUUCUCUGUGGUCAUUUUCCCAUUCUUUUUGGAUAUUCGAGAGAGGCUUUUGCUUCUUCUUCUAUUUUUGGGAGAGUGGCGAAGUUCCCCGCCCUUCUGGCGAGAGCUCUGGCUAUAUAUAGUCGAGACCCCUUCACCCAUAACUUCACUCAAUGCUUUUUUGUUAUUCGGUGUGUCCUUGUCGUGAUGCUGAACGUUAUCCCUUUCGAAUGGGCGAACUUCGAAGAGGAGAAAUAGAGGAGGUUGUAUUGACUCGAUGUGCAAUCCAUAGAGUUGAGGUGUUGGGCGAUCUAAUCAUGAUGGUCAGAUUUUGACCAAUACAGACAAUAAAUACGAAAAAUCCUCGAAGACAUCAAACCUCGAGCUAUUCUCCUAGCCCUUCGAGAGGAGAUUACGUAAUGCCUUGCCAACAACCCGAUUUUAGCCGUAACGUAAACAAAUUUUUUCUUUCGGGAAUCUGUCAAGUUUCCUAAUAAAUGGACAACAAACACCACAAGGCAGUCUUUGUUGCAUGUUGUAUUGUAUCAUUGGGCAUUCUUUAGCGGGUUCAGGAAAACAUAUUUUGACUUAUAACUCUAGAAUAACGAAGUUCUAUAGACAAGAAAUGACAUAACAAUAUUCGUCGUGUAACGUGGUCUUUAAAUACUGCAAAGAAGUUGACUUAAAAUGAGCUACUUCCUGUCUUGAAAAUAAGCUCGAUUUAGAGGGGUUUGGAUUGGGUCACAUCAGUUUUUAAGCUUUUUUGUUUUAGUUUUUUUCAUUAUUUGGCAAAAAAUCAAAAAGUAUUUAAAAUAAGUUAAAAAUUAAUACCUAAAAUAAGCUAAAAGCAAUAAGUUGGACAAUUCUAACUUAUUAUGUUUUGGCUUAAAAAUUAUUUCUAAUGAAAAGGCACUUUUUUAAGCCUAUCAAAACGGCUUCCUAGAACGAGGACGAGACGACUUUUUACUUGGAAAUGAAAAUCUGAAAUAAUUAUUAAUUUAUAAUGGCGUCUAUCAUGUUAACAACCAUUAACAGCUAAAAGUUUAAUAGCGUCUUUUGAUGAUGCGUACGGGUCGUUCAAACCUUAUUUCUUUAAUUCAAAAUUUAUAUUUGUAACAAAAAGUUUUGAUAAGUCUAAUCAAAUCUCUCUAUAAUUAUAUUUAAAAAUGUACAUAGGUUAGGUUAGUUCGGAUUAUAAAAUUACCAAAUAAAAUCAAUUAUGUCGGGUUAUUAAAUUUAAAGACCAAACCAAUAAAACUCGGGUUUUUCACUCUCGGGUUUUCUCGAGUUUUCGGGUUAUUCAUGUUUUUUCAGAUUUUUUCCGGUAAAAUCUCCGUAGAACAAAACAUAUAAAUUAUGCUCAAAAUAUUUCUUUAGUCCUAGUAAGAUACAACUAUAUAAAGUAUUUUCCAAGAAAAUAAUACAAAAUAUGAGAUAUGUCAUGGCAUUAUCCUAACAUAUUCAACAAUAAAGACAAUUAAAUUAUGUAAUAUAAAUAUUGCUAAUUAAAAAACCAUAAUCUAAAAGUACUAAGUCAUAGUAAAAUAAGUAAACUAAUACGGGAGUAUUAAUUACAUGACUAAACGCUAAAGAAAAAAUAAAAAUAGGUUGUGCAUUUUAAUAAAAUAAAAUAAAAUAGAUAUUCAAUACAUUUCCGAUCGUAGUAUUGAGUUGAAUGUCUUUUAAUAGCAUUAGUAUUGCUUUGAUUUUGGUUUGGGAUUUUGUUAGCACUAUUUAAUUUACUAAUGUUAAUGACUAUAAAACUUAUUGGAACAUUCAAAAGUUCUAAGUCCAAUAUUAAAUAAUACCUUAAAAGAUAAAAUUAUGAAAUCUUUUAAGAAAUAUUUAUCAAUUACAUCACAAUAAGAAUAUUUACAAAUAUCUCGAAAUUUCUAUAUAUGUAAUGUCGGGUUGAUCUGGUUUUGGUUUGAUUUUCUUUAGUUAAAAUCAUACUAAACCAAUUAUGGUCGAGUUUGUUUUCCAGCACCAAACCAAAUCAAACCAACCCAUAGUAGGAUUUUUUUUCUCGGUUUGACUCGGAUUAUCGGGUUAGUGCCAGGAGCAUACGUAGAAAUUUUUAUAAGUGAUGUCGACAUUUAAAGACGUGAUUAAUAUCUUAUUAAAAAAAUUAAACAUGCAAACUCUAACAUAUGAAUAAAACACAAUUGAAGAACAAUACUAUUAUGAAACAAUAAAAGAACAAGAGCAAUAUUGCAGAGAAAGAGAGAGAGAAAAUUCUUAUUGAAUUUUUGGGUGAUUUACAAUGGGGUAAGACCUCUCUAUUUAUAGGAGGAAAAAUGACUUACCUCUAAGUAAAACUCUCUACAAGAUAGACAUUCACUCCAAAUAGAAUUCUAUUCUUAACACUCCCCCCUGAAUGUCUACAAUAAAUAAUGUGCCUCGUUAAAACCUUAACUAAAAUAAAACCCAGUGGAAAAAAAUUCUAGAAAAGUAAAAAGAGUACACAUAUUUAGAAAUGCGCUUAUUGGUUACCUCGUUAAAAACCUUGCAAGAAAAACCUAGUGGGAGAAAACUUUGUAAGGGAAAAAGAGAGCAACAUGCAUGAACUCCCCCUGAUGAGAGCAUCAAUUCACAUCCUUAAGCCUUCGCAUUCCAAUCUUGUGCACCGUCUUCAAGAGAUCGUUGGUAGAGAUUUGAUAAAUAAAUCAACCAUAUUGACUUGAAUGAAUAUUCCGCACAUUGAAAUCAUCAUNNNNNNNNNNNNNNNNNNNNNNNNNNNNNNNNNNNNNNNNNNNNNNNNNNNNNNNNNNNNNNNNNNNNNNNNNNNNNNNNNNNNNNNNNNNNNNNNNNNNNNNNNNNNNNNNNNNNNNNNNNNNNNNCAUUAUCAUGCUUAUAGUUAUAGCAAGAUACAUUUGUGCAUAAAUUGCACUGAGGAAGUGGUACCUCAAGAUCAAGAAUUGUAGAUGGUUCAAGCAACUUAAAUCCUUCAUGGAUAGUCAUAUAAGCCAUAUAAUAGACUUUAGAUGCAUAUCAGGUUUUCAUGCCAUGCUAGACAUAUAAGAUGUCGAAAACUGAUUGCGCAUAACAUUGACUUUAUACUUUAGAGUGUUGGAACAACAUAGACAAAAUUAUAUGUCUUUCAUAUGAGACCAAUUCUAUUCGAAUUUCAUCUCUUCUAUUUGGAGAAUAUUUUUGUCUGUAUUCGACAAACUUAAGAUCCUCAUCGAUAUUUAGCGCUAUCAUAGAUGUCGUCGACGAACAUUUUAUAUUGGUUCCAAUAAAUUUUCAUAAAGACAUAAUAUAUAGAUUCUUUUCAUUCAUAUAUUCAGUUACCUGAAUCUCUCAUGAGAUUUUAUGAAGGGUUAUGUCAUGUGACCUUCUAGAUCACUUGCCUCAUUUAUUAUGAUUACUUUUAUCAUUUGCUCAUCUUCUUUAUCAAGAGUUCUAUUUGAAACUGAUUUGUCUGUACGCUUUAAGCGUACCAUAGAUUUUGUCCUUCUAGGACUUAAUAUGAGCAUUUGCAAUGAGAAUAUAGUUAAUUUCUUUGGGUCAACAAAUGUGUAUGGCACGCUUUGCAAUAUAUUGCAAACGAAUUAUAUUUUUAGGAACUUCAAGUUCAUAUUAUCGUAAUCGAGGAUCUAGAUAUACAAAUGAUAAUUCAUUCUACGUAACUUUUUCUCAAUUGUUUAUCAUGUCUCUCCCUCAUGUUAGAAAACUAACUUGUUUCCUCAACUUUGAGAACUCAUCUUUGUGCAUUAUGGUGUUAAUGAAAAUAUAAACCGCACAUCAAUAAUAAUAAGAUGGAAUUAUUUGGUUCCUAACCCUGAACCAUUUGUGAGGGGAGAAUGCAAUAUACUUUCGUAUAUAACACAUAUCAAAUUGAUAUAUAUAACUUUAUUCUCAUAAGAAACAGUUUAGCUAUUAAGUAUAGGCACUCAAUUAAUUAUUUUGCUAAACCAAUUAUGAUAUAAACAAACUUCUCAAGAUAAAUAUCUUGCAAAGAAAAUCUGGAAAUUAUGCUCUAAUUGAAUUAUUGAGCAAGUUACCUCGCAAAACACCAUGUUGCGGGUUAAUAAUAAUCGCACAUGUAACCAUCUCAUAGAUGCAUCUUAUGUGGUAUNNNNNNNNNNNNNNNNNNNNNNNNNNNNNNNNNNNNNNNNNNNNNNNNNNNNNNNNNNNNNNNNNNNNNNNNNNNNNNNNNNNNNNNNNNGCCCAUAUUCACCUUUGAUAUUUCCAGCAUUCAUGGGAUUCAAUCCCAAUUUUAAUUGGUCUAUCAAUUAACAAGAACAAGCAACCUAAGAGAAUUCGUAAAGAUCUUUCUAGUUCUUUAAUAUUUACCCAUAUAGAUUCUCGUUUAUUUUUACACAUCAUACUUUAAUUAAUAUGACUAAACCAGCUAUGCCAAAUGGAUAUCAAUAAACUUCAAGUUUAUUAUGAUUUGAGUUUUAUGUCAAUAAAGUUCUACUUUAUUGUGGCAUUCUUUUAUUCACCAAAAUAUUUUUACGUACAAUAGGUACGUGAUCAAUGACUAUUCAUGCCAUAAUAAUGAUAUUAUUUUCUUAUUUCAUCUCAAACCUCCUUCUAGAGGUGAGUGUGGUAUAUUCACUACCACUAGCACGUUCAUAUUCUUCCAAUAAUGAAUAUGUAUUCAGAUGUUGUCACAUUCACACCAUGAAUGGACCAUAAUAAUCAGCAUGUGCUAUAUAAAAUCUCAUGUCAAAUCGAUGACAGAUAUUACUUUCACAUAGUGAAUGANNNNNNNNNNNNNNNNNNNNNNNNNNNNNNNNNNNNNNNNNNNNNNNNNNNNNNNNNNNNNNNNNNNNNNNNNNNNNNNNNNNNNNNNNNNNNNNNNNNNNNNNNNNNNNNNNNNNNNNNNNNNNNNNNNNNNNNNNNNNNNNNNNNNNNNNNNNNNNNNNNNNNNNNNNNNNNNNNNNNNNNNNNNNNNNNNNNNNNNNNNNNNNNNNNNNNNNNNNNNNNNNNNNNNNNNNNNNAACGGGUUUUCAAUUCUUUGCCACAAUCAUACAUGAUUUUGAUCAUGGCAAGGCAUAGAACUUUUACCACUUUAAGUGGGUGUAAUUUCUUACAAAUUCCAUUAGAGUUAUAAUCAAACUUUGUUUGUCUUUGUUUGUAUAUGAAAUCAAAUCGUAGAAUUUCAUGAAUUUGAAAAGAGAAAAGUAAAUUACUUACCUUAAAUCCGGAAAUUAAUCAUGAAGGAAACUCACGGAACAAUUGACAAUUUUUAUGCUCAAUCCCAAAACUUCUGUUCAAUUGGUUAUAAUCUCGUGCUGGACCGCUAAGUUUGGUGGGGAAAAUCCGGUUCCACGACGUCAAAUCAUAGGCAGCCAAAGCGCUAUAGCGAUUGCCAAAUACAUCAGCUAUAGCAACCAGAACCCGGUUCCUUUCCCGGUCUAUAGUUAAACCGAGCGACUGAGUCAAGUCAACAUCCUUAACGACUGGAAUUUCCUGCAGCACAUUACCUAGGGAGUAAUUCUCAUCGACCGGAAUCACACCUAAACCGCCUCCGAAGAAACUGACGAUAAACCGGCGGUUUACAUCAUCCCUUUUGGCACAUUCACAUAACCACCCUGUGUUGUGGUAAUGAUAGACGUGGGUUGUGGGGGCGGAAGUUUCGAGGUGGAUUAUAAAAGCAGUAGGAAUUGCUGAUACGAAAGAGGAGUAGAAAGAAUUUGGUUGAACAGAAGAAAGAAGCCAUGUUAAGAGUGUUUUUUCUUUUUUUGAGUUUUGUGCAGAUAACGUGUUAUCAAAUAAUAAAAGAACAAGAGCAAUAUUGCAGAGAAAGAGAAAAUUCCUAUUGAAUUUUGGUGUGAUUUACAAUGCGGUAAAACCCCUCUAUUUAUAAGAGAAAAAAUGACCUAGCCUCAAAGUAAAACUCUCUACAAGAUAGACAUUUACUCUAAAUUUGUAUUAUUAGUCUCGUUAGAAUUAAUACUAAAUAUUUUCUUUUGUAUAAUACACCAGUUCACAAUCACUCGAAAAUAUACCUUUCAUUUCAUUCUGCAUAGCAUGCCCAAUUCUAAAAAAUCAGAAAUUGCAUGAAAUGGCUAAAAUAAUUACCUUUCACAAGAAAUUUAUUCAUUGUGACUCUAAUAUCGUAAGCAUAUCAUGAUCUAUUAGCUUUUUUUUUUAAGGAAUCGAACUCCAAAUGUUCCCAACAAAUAUGUAGGGCUUGACCAAGUGAGCUAAGAACUCUUUUUGUUAAGUGACGUGGCUUCAUUCUAUUUGUAUAGUGUUUAGUUUGCAUAUCACUUUGUAUUCAUAUAUUUAGUAAAGUUUUCCGGUCAAGCGGUGUCGGAUGACACCGCUUGAGUCCAAGUGCAUCAGCCCCUAAUUGGUGUAAUUUGUCGGUUUCCUUUGUACACCCCUAAUUGUAUUCUUAUAUAACAAUACUUCACUAUAAAAGUUAGGUUCUUUCGGAACUAAAUUUCAUGUUAAGUUAUAACAUAUAUUCUAUAAUAGUAAUUCGCUACAACAUCUAAAAAUAUCUGGAACAAACGAGACUGUUAUAGAAAAGUUUGAUUUUAUAUAUAAAAAUUUAUAUUCAAAAUUCAAUUAUUAUCUAAUAUUGCUCUUAAAAAAUAGAAUUUAAUUAUUAUAUAAUAUUGUUAUUAUAAAAUUCAUAUUCUAACUCCACCUGUACUUUGUUAGCAGGAGCCAAUGGAGUGGCACAUGAUUGGUCUGCUUCUUUUUCUUUCUCCAAAAUCAAAAGGGCUGCGUGUCAAAUGUGGAUUGCCUUAUGCUAUUGCUGCAUGUUUUAUCGAUGCUAUUGCUACCGACACUUCUUCUUUAAUUUCUCUAGUCCUUUUCUGUCCUAUUCACCGCCGGGGAAUUAAAUCUCAUCCCUCUGAUUUAUUUUAUGAAAUGAUGUCAGAGUAAUCAUUUGAAUUAACAACUUUUUUUCAUACUUCACCGGUUAUAAUCCACAAUAUUUAGUUUUUUCAAAUAUUAAAAGGAAAUUAAUUUUUUUUUCAAAAUUAUCCCUGAAUAAAGAGUUUUGAAGUUUCUAUUAUAUUUUUAGUGAACAAAUUAAGGUUAAUAUGCUUAAUUUAAUGAUAAAAGGUGAUUUCCUUAAUAUCUAUAAAAAAAGCUAAAAAAUCAAAUAAAGUGGACUUGAGGAAAUAUUCGAUAUCUGCUACUCGCAUUGGGAUUAAUAUGAUUAUAUUCACACUGCGUAAAGCCUAUUGAAGAAGAAGCGUCCCCUUUAUAUUUUUAUAUUCUAAUGACUCUAACCCGAAACUUAUAAUUAAAGGUGGUGGAAGGUUCAUAUCCAUUCUACCACAACGAUAAAUUGACGAGAUCCACUAAAUAAGAAAAAACCUCUUUUUCUUUUUCUCUCAAGAGGUUAUAAUAAAAGACGAACAUCAUAGUGCUUAUGUACCUAAGUGUACCAAGUCUUUUUUCUUUUUUCUGUUCUUUACUACUGUUAAUGAAAACCUAAAAUGAAAAACUUUUUAGGUUACAGAUAUUGUUAUAACAGAUAAAUAGACGAGAUCCACUACUCUAUAACAGCCUCGUUUGUUUCAGAUAUUUUUAAAUGUUAUAGUGAAUUGCUGUAAUUAAAAACAUAUAUUACAGAACAUGAAAUUUAGUUCCGAAAAAACUUGACUUUUAUAAUAAAAUGUUAUUAUAUAAGGAUGCAAUUUGUGCAAUAUUAGUGUGUUUCUUAAAACGAGUGCUUAUUACUUAUUAGAAGGGCAAAUUCUCAAGAAAUAUAUCUCCUAAGUUAGCUUGAUCUCUUGCUUCAUCCUUUUGCUUGACGACAAAAAAAUAGGUCGAAAGUUGGUUUGGUUAAAUGAAAGCGUGUUAUUGGUUCCACGGGUGCUGUCCGAGCGCUUUAUAUAAAGAAAAAAUGAGUUUAUAAAGUUGCGAGUUGUUCGCAUAAACUCAACUUGAUAAAAAUUUAAAGAAUAAAAAUCAUUAAAACUCACCAUCAUUUAAAGUAGAAGAAAUAACGAUCUAUCCAUUUCAAUUUAUGUGACAGAUUGACUUGACACAUAAUAUAUGGGAAAAAAGACCUUUAAAAUAUAUGGUCAUAAAUAUGAGAUAUACAUGUUAUAAUAUUUCUUUGCCUACAAAAACUUCUCAUUAAAAGUAAAAUGAGAAGUUUAAAGUUAAAUUAUUUUUAAAUAUAAAAGUUUAUUAAAUUUUUUGGAAUAGGCUAAUAAGGAAAUAAUAUUAUAUAACUUGAAGUCUUAAAAGAGUUCACCAAAUAUAUUAGCCGUAGUAUGAUAAUCUUACUAAUCCAAUUUUCCAAGAAACAAAUACAGAUUCUCUUUUGUACAAGAGUAUACUAUGAUUAGUAUUGAUGAAGUUGUUUCUGAACACUGUCGAACAAUGCCAUGCAACCGAAAAAAGGGGAAAACAUAUUGACUGCCAAUUUUCUCUUAGGAAAACUUUAGUGUCAUUUAUACUGUUUUCACCUCACUGGGUAUUCAAAAAUAGUAAUCCUCGAUCUAAUAAGUAUAGCAAAGUAAAAUUUCCAACAAUAACUCUGCACUCCAAUAUACGUACAAGAAACAGCCCUCUAUCUUAGUAUUGUACACAACACAAUGGAAUUCUCCAGUCUACAAUUGGGCACAAAUUCAACAAAGAAUUGGAAGAACCUUAGUCAUCCCCGUUCCAUAAAAAGAAACUCUAUCUUAGUACUGUUACGACAAGAGGGGUUGCUCUGAUGAUAAGCAACCUCCACUUCCAACCAAGAGGUUGUGAGUUCGAGUCUCCCCAAGAGCAAGGUGGGAAGUUCUUGGAGGGAAGGAUGCCGGGAUCUAUUUGGAAACAGCCUAGAGGUAAGGUCUGCGUACAUACUACCCUCCCCAUACCCCAUUAUGUGGAAUUAUACUGGGUUCUUGUUGUUGUUGUUGUAUCUUAGUACUGUACACAACACAAUCGAAGAGGAUCUCAAGAUAGAGAUGUCUAUACUCUCUCUUGUGCUCCAACUUCUGGGAUAUCUGAAGAUCAAAAAAUCAAUUAAGUACAUUAACGGACUGUAAGAAAAUAUCAAUAAGAUAUAUGUGAUUUACCAACAAAAGAAAGGUGCAUAUAGAAAAUUUAAAGUUUGCUAACAAAUAACUUUUAUAUAUAGCUGUAUAUAAUUAAUCGUCUUUAAUAAGUGGGAUCAGUAACCUAGAAUAUAAGACAAAUAAUUCGAUACAACAGGUUAAAGUAUGCCGAUAUAUGUAUAUAUAGGGUAAAGAGUCUUUACCUUAAGAUUCAAGAGCAUAAGGUGUUUGCAGCAGAUCAUAAGGUGCCCAGAGGGUAUCUAAUGGACAAGGCCGGCUCGCAUCGAGUCGAACCCACGGCUUCCCUUUUCCACUCCAAUGCAAUAAGCUCACUGGACCAGGGUGCAAAUUCCGACACAGACCUCGGAAAUUAUCUCCUCCAAGACCAUGUUGGUUCCACUUAUGAUCCACUGGAGCUAUAUUUCCAGCAAAAACAAGCAGAAAAGGUGGUAACGAUCCCAACUCAUAAAUCCUCAUUCUCUUCUGAAGUUCCAUCCAUUCUACAAUCUUUGUUGUAUAAUCCCCAGCUCUCCAUCUUUCAAGAUCAAUGACCAUAACACCUGUGUUGAAAUAACAAGGCUUUCGGUUCGCGAAAGUCAAAGAAAGUGAAGGGUUUGACCAGAAAGUGGGGGUGAAAUAAGUAGUGAAAUUUGCAUUGCAGUAUUCUGGUGCUGCUAGAACUGCUUCUUCCCCUAGAGGUAUUGCUGCCAGCUUGGCAAUGUCGUCUACGAGAACAAGGUCCGAAUCCAGGUACACAACCUACAUGGAUAACAAAUAUGUUAGAAAGGGACUGAUAAUUAUUAUGUGUAAUUUUCUCCUUUGAAUAAUUACUAAAUUCUAGUAGAGUAAUAAAAUUCGUCACUAAAUUUGGUUUAUAAUGCCCUUAAUUAGCAAGUAAAAAUGCAGCCGCUAAAAUUCCUUUUCCGGUUGCUAUUUUCGACCGACAAAAAAUUCAUUCAUUGCCGGUCUAAAAGCCACGUAAAGCAUACGACAGGAAUUUAAUCUGGUCGAUAAUUAGAAAGACUUUUACUGACAAGAAGAAUCCCUCCUACUGUACCUGAAUUCUUGCCAUAUCGCAUUUUUUCUUCACGUAUUAUCAUUUCGGUCAUUAAAGACGACCUUUGGUCACGAUAUAAAUCCAGUUCCUCUAAGUGUUUUAAUUUCAAAGAUCGAAUUUUUAAUAUCAGCAAUAAUAUUUUAAGGGCUAAAUUUCCCUUCGCUACUCAUUUUUUCAUGUGCAUUCACAUGAUACAUAUAAAUAUACGCACACAUCCGAUUAAAAUAGAAAAUAAACAACAUUCAAAAGAAAUUAAUUAAAACAUAGAACAAGGUCUGAAUCGAGGUAAACUAACCUUUUGGAUACAUCCAGGAAGAAGAUCAGCAAGGUAAUUACGAGCAUAAUUAAGAGGACAGUCUAAUGCAGCACGAAUGGAUGUAGAAAUUAAUCCUGCCACUCCAGAAUCUUGGAAGGGAUAAAUUGUGAAAUGAAGAUAAGGGAAUGAAUUAGCAAUUGUGAUGUUGAGAUAAUUAGUGUCAGCGGAGGAAGAAGCAACGAAGUGGAAGAUAACAUUUUCAGGGCAAGAAGAGUGCUGGAGAACAGAAAGAAUCGCAGCCAUUGACCCUCGGAGAUAAGCUGCAUCAAGAGUCAUGGCUACAUUUACUGCAUUUUAAAGCAAAUUCCAUUGGAGGUGGAGUUGAUGGUAGCAUUAUUUGGGGAAUUGUAGAAUUUUGGAGCUUCUUUGAAACGGAAGCUCUUGGUAUUCAUAGCGCCUAUAAGUGCAGCUAAGGAGAUGGUCCAUAAAAGAGAAAUAAAGGCCUUGACCUUGAAACUCCCAAGUUUUGGCAUUAUGGAGAAGCUACACAAACACAUAAACAGGCGCAUAUAUAUAUAUAUAUAUAUAUAUAUAUAUAUAUAUAUAUACACAACAUACAUACAUAUAUUGUAUGCAUCAAGAUCAUGAUAGUUACCUUAUUACUUGUUGGGGACACAAAUUUUGACUACUGGAUGUUUAUGUUCUCUCUUCCAAUUCUUCUCGAUUGAUCUUUUUUCUUGCGACUUUUUGUACCUAACUAGGGUAUUGCUCUCACUUGAUCUCUUCCAAAUAAUGGGCUCUACAUUUCUGUCAUCUUACUCCUAGUAAAUAAAGUAAAUAGCAUCUAAGCUAUAUUUACUUACUAACUAAUACUCCCUCCGUUUUAAUUUAUGUGAACUCAUUUGACUUGACAUGAAAUUUAAGGAAAGAGAAGACUUUUGAAUUUUUGGUAUAAAAUGAAUCACAUAUAUUUUGUAUGGUUAUAAAUUAUUAAAUAAAGAUAAAUUGUUUCCAAAUAGAAAAAGAGAGCAUUCUUUUUUGUACAGACUAAAAAAAAUAGGUUCAUAUAAAUUGAAACGGAUGGAGUAUAAUAUUACCUAUUAUAGCAGUUUAGUUAUCAUAUUUAUCAGGUUACUAACUAAUUAUGGUUAUCCUAAAAAUUUACCUAUAAUUAAAUUAUAUAUAAAAAUUUACAUUUUAUAUAUAUAUUUAUAUAUAUAUAUACAUAUAUAUAUAUAAAUUGUCAACUCAAGUAAAUAUAAGAAAUGAUUGCUACAAUAAAAUAAUUAAGUUAUAUUCAGUGAUAUUGUAUCGACUUUUCAUAUUAUGUUUAUCCCAUAUAGCUUAACUUGUGAUAAUACAGUACUCACUCUGGUUCACAAUAAGUGUCCAGUUUACUUUUAGCACGCUUAUUAAGAAAAUACUAAAUCUUAUACAAAAAUAUCUAGUAUGACUAAACUAUCUCUAAUUAAACUUUUAAUGUGUGAAGUAAGAAAAUUUUUUAGACAUAUGUAUAUAGUAGGAUUUAUUUUGUAAAAACAAAUUGAAUUCUUGAUUACAAAACUAAAUACUUAUUUUGAACCAAAAUAAAAAAACAAAUUGGAUACUUACUGUAAAUCGGAGAGAGUACCAAUCUUACCGGGUUACCAUAUAAGAGUAAUAUUUAUCAUGAAAGUUUACGUGUAAUCAUCAUAUUAAAAGGGACAUGAUGUAUGAGCACGCAUUACGCAUACUAAACUUCUAUACCAAUCUUUACACAAAAUUUUGUUGGAAAGAAGACUAAUAUUUGACUUGUAGGAGAAUCUUGGGAGAUGAAAGCGUAAAUGUUGGUAUCAUGUGGCGGCAAUGCCGCUGCCACGUAUUUCUUGCCUUACAUAAUGUACUGGUCAAUAUAUACAGUUUGUUUUCUUUAUAAAUAAGCAAAUACUCCUAUCAAUGUAGUUUUAUGGUUUCUUUGUUCAUCCAUCCAUUUCCAGGGUAGUUCCACAUCUGCCUCGUUUCUUUAAUCGUACGUUUUACCCUCUUAUUCAGGCAAUUCAAACAUUAGAACAAAAUUAAUAAGUUAAAGUAUUACAUAGUGAGUGUAGUUUAAUCUGCUAUACAUACCAGAUUACUUAUCAUAUUUAUCAAGUUACGUGUUAGUAAUGUUUAUCACAAAGACAUAUUUUUUAUUAUUUUAUAAAUGGCUUGAUUGUGUAAUAUAUUUUUUUAGUUGUCAUUUACAGAAGUAAAACUUAAAGUAAAAGGAAAAACAGGGAAAAGGUAAAACCAUGCAACACAUGUCAAUUGUUUGAGGAAAUUAAAGAGCUGCUCAACUUUUUUGUAACAGUGAGAUUUCAUCAUACUUUUAGUUUGUAGGGUUGUUAUAGAAGGUGGAUAGAAGCACAUCACUUCCAUCAUAGUACUUCAAAUAGUUACUGCAGAUCUAUAUAUAAAAGUCUACUUAUAUAUAUAUAUAUAUAUAUAUUGCUUCAUCCUUUUGCUUGACGACAAAAAAAUAGGUCGAAAGUUGGUUUGGUUAAAUGAAAGCGUGUUAUUGGUUCCACGGGUGCUGUCCGAGCGCUUUAUAUAAAGAAAAAAUGAGUUUAUAAAGUUGCGAGUUGUUCGCAUAAACUCAACUUGAUAAAAAUUUAAAGAAUAAAAAUCAUUAAAACUCACCAUCAUUUAAAGUAGAAGAAAUAACGAUCUAUCCAUUUCAAUUUAUGUGACAGAUUGACUUGACACAUAAUAUAUGGGAAAAAAGACCUUUAAAAUAUAUGGUCAUAAAUAUGAGAUAUACAUGUUAUAAUAUUUCUUUGCCUACAAAAACUUCUCAUUAAAAGUAAAAUGAGAAGUUUAAAGUUAAAUUAUUUUUAAAUAUAAAAGUUUAUUAAAUUUUUUGGAAUAGGCUAAUAAGGAAAUAAUAUUAUAUAACUUGAAGUCUUAAAAGAGUUCACCAAAUAUAUUAGCCGUAGUAUGAUAAUCUUACUAAUCCAAUUUUCCAAGAAACAAAUACAGAUUCUCUUUUGUACAAGAGUAUACUAUGAUUAGUAUUGAUGAAGUUGUUGCUAUAAAUAUCAGGAGGGAAAACCUUAUGAAGGGGCUGAUUCUUCAACACUAUUCAUGAGAGAGAAAUACACUACAGUAUUCAUAUUAUAGUGGAAUGGAACACCAUUGUAAGGCUCUGAACAUCUUCAAGGAGAGGCAGACCAAAUCACUACAAUCAAUAAAGUCUCCUCUUAUAUCUCCUCUAAUUCUCCGUGUUCAUUUGUUAUGUCUUUCGUUUGGCCCAUGAUUUAUUAUCAUCUGCCAUUAUUUACCUCCAUUUACUUUUAUUGUAUUAUGCUUGUUAAGUAUCCCUAUAAUUUUUGAGCGAAAUAAUUUGACGUCGUCUAUGGGGAUUUCACAGCAAGAUCACAUAGUUCUUCCCUGGAUCAGAGCGAAAAAGUUCCCAGAAAAGGGAACGAUCUAGAUGAGACAAUCCAAAGCGGCGUAUCAGACAAAAGGAAUUCGAAGCCUCAACAAAAACCUGAAUCUUUGUCUCUCCGAAGUCGAAUAGUGCAAACAAGAAUAAGAAGCCCCUCCUAAAGGAGGAUCUAUGUAAAACAUCUCCCACAUCCCUGACACGGGAUUCAGCCAAAAACCGGCGCAGAAAUAUCUCAAAUCGGGAUUCACCUCAGGACAACCUACAUACCCUGAUUAGGAAGACAACGUGUGGGCUGUACAAAGAUCUCAAACCAAAACCAAGCCUCAACACUCAAUACCCAUGGCAUUGGGGCCAAUCAAAUUUAACAAGUUCAAGUUCACUUGAACUAGGACUCAAGCCAAGCGCCUUCACCACUCGAGUCAACGAGUUCGACCUUGCUCGAACUAUAAGGCCAAGCGCCUCCGCCAUCAAAAUUAACAAUUUCAACUUCAGUUGAACUAUGACUCAAGCUAAGUUCCUUCACCAUCAAAAUUUGAUAAGUUCGACCUUGUUCGAACUAGGAUUCAGGUUAAGCGCCUUCGCCAUCAAAGUACAACAAAGUUUGACCUUGUUCGAACUGGAACUCAGGCUAAGCGCCUUCGCCAUCAAAGUAUAACAAAGUUCGACCUCGUUCGAACUGGGACUCAGGCUAAGCGCCAUCGCCAUCAAAGUAUAACAAAGUUCAACCUCGUUCCAACUGGGACUCAGGCUAAGCGCAUUUUCCAUCAAAGUAUAACAAAGUUCGACCUCGUUCGAACUGGGACUCAGGAUAAGCGCCUUCGACAUAAAAGUCAACGAGUUUGACCUCGCUCGAACUAUAAGGCCAAGCGCCUCUGCCAUCAAAAUUAACAAGUUCAACUUCAGUUGAACUGGGACUAAAGCUAAGUGCCUUCGCCAUCAAAAUUUGAUAAGUUCGACCUCGUUCGAACUGGGACUCAGGCUUAGCGCCUUUGCCAUCAAAGUACAACAAAGUUCUACCUCGUUCAAACUAGGACUCAGGCUAAGCACCUUCGCCAUCAAAGUAUAACAAAGUUCGACCUCAUUCGAACUAGGACUAAGGCUAAGCGCCUUCACCAUCAAAGUACAACAAAGUUCAACCUUGUUCGAACUGGGACUCAGGCUAAGCGCCUUCGCCAUCAAAGUACAACGAAGUUCGACCUCGUUUGAACUGGGACUCAAACUAAGCGCCUUCGCCAUUAAAGUAUAACAAAGUUCGACUUUGUUCAAACUGGAACUCAGGCUAAGUGCCUUCGCCAUCAAAAUUUGAUAAGUUCGACCUCAUUCGAACUGGGACUCAGGCUAAGCGCUUCCGCCAUCAGAGUAUAACAAAGUUUGACCUCGCUCGAACUGGGACUCAGGAUAAGUGCCUUCGCCAUUAAAAUUUGAUAAGUUUGACCUCGUCCGAACCGGGACUCACCAUAAAGUUUGACCUCGAUCGAACAACGACGGGAUAAUAUUUUGAUAAGUCGAAAUAACACCCUUUAAGGCCAAGGUCCUUCUCCAAAUAGAAUAGUUCCACAUCGAUCGAAAAACGACGGAUUAAUAUUUCGAUAAGUCGAAAUAACACCCUUUAAGGCCAAGGGCCUUUUCCAAAUAGAAGAAUUCGACGUCGAUCGAACAACGACAGGUUAACAUUUCGAUAAGUCAAAAUAACACCUUUUAAGGCCAAGGGCCUUCUCCAAAAAGACGAGUUCGACCUCGCUCGAACUACAAGGCCAAGGGCCUCCGCCAUCAAAUCUAAAAAGUUCAACUUCAGUUGAACUGGGACUCAGGCUAAGCGCCUUUAACAUUAAAGUCAACGAGUUCGACCUUGCUCGAACUAUAAGGCCAAGCACCUCUGCCAUCAAAAUUAACAAGUUCAACUUCAGUUGAACUGGGACUCAGGCUAAGCGCCUUCGACAUUAAAGUCAACGAGUUCGACCUCACUCGAACUAUAAGGCCAAGUGCAUUCGCCAUCAAAUUCAAUAAGUUCAACUUCAGUUGAACUGGGACUCAGGCCAAGCACCCUCACCACUUGACUCAGUGGGUUCGAUCUUGCUUGAACUAUAAGGCCAAACGCCUUCGCCACUUGAUUCAACGAGUUCAACCUCGCUCGAACUAUAAGGCCAAGUGCCUUCACCAUCAAAUUCAAUAAGUUUAACUUCAGUUGAGCUGGGACUCAGGCCAAGCGCCUUGACCUCGCUCGAACAAUAAGGCCAAGCGCCUUCACCAUCAAAUUUAGCAAGUUCAACAUUAGUUGAACGGGGACUCAGGCCAAUCGCCUUCGCCAGUUAAGCCACACAAGGUCGCCAUCCCUCGAACUAUAAGGCCAAGUGCCUUCGCCAUCAAAUUCAAUAAGUUCACCUUCAGUUGAACUGGGACUCGGGGCCAAGCGCCUUCGCUAGUUAAUUCAACUAGUUUGACUUCACUUGAACUAUCAGGCUGGGCGCCUCUGUUGCUAUACUCAGCAAAUACAACCUCCAAAAAAUCUAGGCACAGGCUAAGCAACCUCACCAUUCAAGUAAGUUCCUCUCAUUUGAACUAAAAUUCAGGCCAUGUGCUGUUACCUGCAAGCUAAAGUUCAGCCCCGAUAAAAUUACAAGGCCGCGUUUUUUACUAUCACAGCCGGUAGUUCGACUGCGUCUGAAUUGGUACUAAGGCUAAGUUCCAUUGUCGCCAAACAACGUUUCCGACUCGCUUACACCGAGUCAGAGGAGCAAUAUCGUUAACGAUCAAAAACUAAUGCGCGGACCCCAAUUGGGCCCGAAGGUGGGUCAUCUCUUUGAACACGUGCAAAAGAAAGUUUAAAGGGGAAAAGGGAAGGUGCAAAAAUAAGUACAAGACAAGCAAUAGAAAAGAGAAUUUAUUUAUUUACAAUGUUGAUUACGGGUCAUCCCCGCUUACAUCCAGCCAAGGACAGACAACACAAGAAAAGAGAAAGAGAAAAAAACAAGAAACACAUGAAUGUCAAACAGCAAACAAAGCAAAGAAAAAUCAAUAACAAAUUUUCUUUUUUUACUCGGCGCCGUCCACGCCACCAUCACCACCAUCAGCCUCAGGCGACACUUCAUCAAAACCACAGUCGGCACGGGCCUCACGAGCUUUCUGACGCGCCACCUUGAAAGCGGCUUCGGUCACGGUACAGGCCUCCCACGAGUUCUUAUAAAUAUCACGUUGGGCCUCAGCAUAGACCCAAAUAUCACGAGCUUGGCUGGAAGCAGCAGCUUAGUUCCAUAGCCGUUGAUUCUCUCCUUCUAAGGUCGCGACCUGAUUCUCCAUAACUUGGGCCUCCUGCUCAGGAAUGUCAAUCUGCUCCUCGAGCCUUGCUUCCCUGUCGGCCGUUGUAGCCCUAUCCGAGCCAUGCUGAGACUCAUGCACGCGAAUGGACUUCUCCAACCCUACGACCCUCAAUGAGGCAGCACUCGUCUGAAGUUUCAAAGCCGCAACUUCACCCUCCAGCGUCGCCGCUUUCCCGUUCCAUGUCGCAGUGGCCUCCGCAGCCCUAAUUUGGCUCUGCUCCGCCUUCGAGUCCACUUCCCUCAACUUUCUUUCCAAGCGCUCACACUCAGCUGCGCCUCUCUUUCCUACAUCGAGCUUCUCGUUCUUCCGACGAAGCUGCUCCUCGAGAGCAAUCCAGCUAUCAAGUGUCUGCCGCAGGUGUUGUCCGCACCUCUCCAGCUCCUCAUCCAGAUCCCGAUUGCCGGGAUCAUUCCUCAAACGCUCACGCAUCUCUCGACACCGGUCAUGGUAGCGUUGAUACUUCCCAGCGUCUGCAUAAAUAUCCUCGAGCGAACGUUGGCUCGACAGAUGCUCUCCACCUCCAGCAAGUAAGUCUACAAAACAAAGGCGACAAUUAAAAUAAAGAAUGAGCUAAGGCUAAAAAGAAACAAACCAAAGGCAUAAUACAUACCCUCAGCCCAUCGCGGCCACUUCAUUCAUCACCCCGACGUUCGUGACGUCCCUGAGCAACGCGUUCUUGGUCUCCGAGUACAGCAGCUCAAACAGUGUCACCAAGUUAUUCCCUUGAAGCAGUAAAUUCAAUUCCGUGGAAACCUCGAUGAAGCGAGCCUGUCCCUCCGCACGCACUGUUGAAUUGGUGAAACCUUCUUGAAACAUGCUGACGUCGUCAGGAUCCAGGUCGGAUUUGGACUCAUGCUUGCCUUCUACUAUAUUAUGCCCCCUUCCGCUGCCAAGGAGGUGGAACUACCCGUGUAAACGCUGAAGGGGCACUUAAAUCAACAACAGCAGCAGCUGAGGGAUGAACUUCUGCCUCAACGACUGAAACAUCCAACUGAGUCGCCGAAGCAACAACACCAUCUUAGCCUAAGUCAACUGGGGCAACCCCCACUGUUCGCCCACCCUCAAUGGCGGGCGUCAAAGCUGCAUUUCUCUCUGAAUCCGAGGGGGAGGAAUCCAAAUUAAUUACCAUGGGAGGAGCUAGUGCAAACGCCACCCUUCGCCUGUGCAGUGGCCUCUCUUCCUCCCUAUUUGACGGCGACUCCCGCUCGAGGGCGAACAGCCCCUAGUAUUCUUUCAUCUCAAAGAGCAGCCCGUGUCGGAGAACGGGCCACUGAAUACUCAACUGAUAAUGCCCUCGGCACUGGGCGUGGCACCGGUGCGGCAGCGAAAUGAGCAAUCGCAGCCACCUGACGAAAGGCCAACUGAGGAGCCCUGACGCGACGUGCCCUCCCUGGCCAUAACAAGCAAACAAAGUCAACAAAUAGAAUCAAAACAAAACGAAAGAGUAGAAAAAGCCAAUAUUCUACUUGUCAUGGGCCCGGGACCAUGCCUCUCCUAGAAAGAUUCCCAUGUGUGAACCCCCACUAUAUGGGGGAGGACGGUCUCAAUCUAUCCCCGUAUCCCAGCCAACUGAGGCGGCGGCAACCUUUCAACUACAAACACAAUGACAUGAGUCAACGCCCAUGAACAUUCGAAGAAAAUAGAGCUAGAAAAGGGUAUUUUAUGGUCGGGAACUUACAUGCAAAAUUCCAAACUUCUGGGAACUCAGUCCAGUCCGCCACCAGAGUCUUAGUCUUGAAUAGAAGAAGUUCUCAAAGGGGCGCCGGUCGAUCUCGUCAUCCAAUUCUGCGGCCAAACCCAUCGACCCAUGAGGGAGUGUGUGGAUCAUGGUACCAUGGAUUUUCUGGGGAGCGUAGAGGCUAAGCAUGUGCUACAGUGUGACCUCCCUACCAGCCAACUCUGCGUACUUGAUAAACAUCAAGAGCAAUUUGUACAGAGAAGGAGAAAGCUGGGUCGGGCACACCCCGUAGUAACGACAGAAGUCGACUACCAGCAUUGGAAGCGGGAACCUGAAUCCCACCUUAAAGGGGUAGACGUAAAAAAUAAAGUACCCAGGACGGUCGACCUGGGUACUUUAUUUUUUACGUCUACCCCAAUAUUCGCAUAACUUGGAAGACCCCACUACUCUCGCAUUUGGGAAAUCCUAACUUCCCUUAUUAAUGGAUCUUCAUCCACCGGCUCCACUCCGCCAUCAGCAGUAAUGUCAACCAUCGAACCUCCGGGCAGAGAUACGAGCUCAUCAACUGAUGGACCUUCAUCGUUUUUCACCAGUACUAGAUUUCCUAUCGCCGGAGUUGGUUCUUCACCCAAGUUCCCCUAUUAAUGGAGCUUCAUCCGUCGGCUCCACUCCGCCAUCAGCAGUAAAGUCGACCACCGAACCUCCGGGUAGAUAUACGAUCUUAUCAACUUAUGGAACUUCAUCGUUUUCCACCAAUCCUAAAUUUCCCAUCGCCGGAGUUGGUUCUUCAACCACCGGAAGGUUAACUGGAAGAUCCGUACGAGAAAUACUCCAUGCCAUUGAUAACUCUAGAAUGAAGGAGCGAUAGGAUUUUGAUAGCAAAGACGAAGGUUUUAACAAUUAAAGAACAGAGAUGAAGACAUAACGACAGACAGAAACGUGUCUCUUCAGAAUCUCUAAGUUGAACAAUAAGAAUGUGAGAGGUAAAUGCCCAACUCCCUCUAUUUAUAAAAAAAUAAAAUUGACCUUCACGAAAUCCAAGAGCCAUCAUUAAAUACACGACCGACCGCAAAACGGUUCAAGUCCACAGGAACGUGUAUCAUUAUGGCACACUCCACGAGGCAAUGUUUCAGCUACUGGCCAGUGUCUCACCCCCGAAAUGGUCGUAACGACCCACGAAUGCCGAAAUGUCGCUCUACGCAGUUUCAAAAAUUUCAAAUAUCAUAAAGUGUAUAGAAAGCACGCCUUCGCUCUUCUUGGCCACACAACGUACAGUCUGUCCACCGGGGCCUACCGGUUACGUCCUCGGUGAACGGAGGGACUAACUGUAUGGGCUUGAAUUUGACCAUAUAUUAUAUACGAAAUUAGCUCUAUCCUUAAUCAUCUCCAAUUGAUAAGUGGUAUGACCACUCUGAACGAAUGACAAUUGAAUAGCGUAUGGUCCAAUUGAAAGGUUACAACACCUAAGUCAACUGGGGCAACCCCCACUNNNNNNNNNNNNNNNNNNNNNNNNNNNNNNNNNNNNNNNNNNNNNNNNNNNNNNNNNNNNNNNNNNNNNNNNNNNNNNNNNNNNNNNNNNNNNNNNNNNNNNNNNNNNNNNNNNNNNNNNNNNNNNNNNNNNNNNNNNNNNNNNNNNNNNNNNNNNNNNNNNNNNNNNNNNNNNNNNNNNNNNNNNNNNNNNNNNNNNNNNNNNNNNNNNNUACAACACACCCCCCCCCCCACACACACACACGCUUCGGAGGCGCAACCUCGACAUGGCCACGGCCACCUAUUGCCAGUUCACAAAGCUCACAGCUAUAAAUAUCAUGAGGGAGAACCUUAUGAAGGGGCUUCUUCUUCAACACUAUUCAUGACAGAGAAAUGCACUACAGUAUUCAUAUUAGGGGGGAAUGGAACACCAUUGUAAGGUUCUGAACUUAUUCAAGAAGAGGCAGACCAAAUCACUACAAUCAAUAAAGUUUCCUUAUAUAUUUUUCUCUAAUUCUUCGUGUUCAUUUAUUAUGUCUUUCGCUUGGCCCAAUAAUUUAUUAUAAUUUACUACUUAUUUACCUUCAUUUAUUUUUAUUAUUUUAUGCUUGUUAAGUACCCGAUAACUUUUGAGCGAAAACACUUGCGAAUUUAUAUCUAAUGAAUAAAGUUACUUGACAUGCGAGAUAUAAAGGGGGAUCCACACGUCCAAACAUUUGGUUAAAUAGUCAAUAUAGCUGAUCAUGAUAGAAAGAAGCUAGAAACUACGAGCUAGUGAGGAAAAUAUGUCAUUAAUAGGGCCAUAUUCACUUUUUCGUGCCAUGUGACCAAACGCUUUUAAUUAAAUGCUGAAAUGCUGCCCCAUUUAUUUGACACCAUAUAUAGAACAUGAUUUUUGUGUUAAUGUUCGUCCUGAUCUGAAAUUAUAUUUUGCCCUCCUUAAUUAUAUAUGCAGUUGACCAUUUAGCGAGAUGUGUGUGUUUAUGCUAAGCUGAAAUUGGUCACUUAAAACAAACGUUACUGUUUUGCUCGAAGUUUUCGUUUACUUUAGAAGCAUAAAACAAUCAAAAUAAACGGAGGGUCAAUUAUAGCAGAUCGUAAUAAAUUCAUAAACUAAAACAAUAAAAUAUAAGAGACAACAGUUAUGGAUUAAAGGGAGGAGGAUGAUGAUCUUGUAUUAAUGAUAUUGGUUUGGUCUGCCUCUCCAUGAAGAGAUUCAGAACCUUACAAUGAUGUAUUCUCUAUUCUUUUAGAAGGAGAUGUAAAGAAGAAGAAGAAGUCCUCCGCCUCCCUCCUUUAGGGUUUUUUCUCUUAGUAUUUAUAGUUAGGAAAUCUGCCAGCUGGUGCUUAUGGAUUGGGACCUUUUGGAGGAGACGCCCUCGUAUGGGCAGGCAGGCCGUGGCCUUAGUCGUCAAAUUGAAUGACUGUUCGAUAAUCUCGUGAGUAAAUGACCAUACCAUUUAUUAAUUACAAAUAGGCUUUAACAAACGUGUUGAUUUCGUUCGUUACCACGAAGUCAAGUUUUAACCCUACAGUUACUAACCUUUUAUAAUAAAACUAAAUGACGCUAAUCGCAUAAGAAAUUUUUACAUUACAUAUAACAUAAAUUCGGUAACUGGUAAGAGAAAGCAACCCAAGAAUAAAUCUCCUUCGUAUAUGAUUGAGGGAAUAACGAUCUAAAGAAAGAUCAAUUCUCAACCACAGAACCCUUUCUAUCAACACGGCAAGUUAGAUCCAUGUUACCACUUAUUGAUAAAGGUAUAUUCACACAUGAAAAAUUAUCAGCACUUGCUUUAAAAUAGGGCCAUUUAUUGGUCGAUUGCGAGGAAAAUAAACAAAUGAUUGAAAUACCACGUGCCCUUCACAUGCUUGUGCUUUAAGCCUCUACUGUAGCUCUUUUAACAGAUCGUUUUGGGUGUCUCAGUUGUUUGUUUUUCCUGCUUUUAUAUUUACUUCGUUUGGCGAAAGAAGAAGCCCAAAAAAGAACAAGAGAAGUUUUACGAUUCUCAUUUCACAUUAUAAUUCAUAAUAUAUUUGAUCUAAUUCAACAGAAUCUAAGAUUUAGUUAACUCAAAAAUCAUCAACCUCUGAUUAUAUACAAAUUCAAGUUUCAUUUUACAAAAAAAUUAGACAGUAUGAUUUAUCAUAAGUUUAAUAAUUUAACCACUAUUGUUAUCAAUUAAUUUGAUGUAUAGAUGUGAGAAAUGUUGUAUCAAGUGUUGUUACAAUUGUUGAAUCAAUUUCCUUUAAUAUGUAUUAAUUUUCAUUAGUACUGUACCGUGCAUACUGUACUGCCAGAUAAAUCAGAAACUCUUCGUUCAAAUUUUUCUUUCGGUUGCUAUUGAACAUAGUUUUAUAUUCUUUACUUGGUUAACGGAGGAGCGACAAAUGUAACUGAAGAACAAUACUUUCAUUCCAUGAAAUUCAAUUUCAUGACAGUACAAUUCAAACAAUAAGGUUUUCCCCCCAAUUACUUAUCAAUCAGCUGAUGGAAACUAUUGAAAUGGUCAAAUGGAAGACAUAGGACAGUGUUGUCAAUUAGCAUUGGAUCGUUGCCGACAGCAAUAUAAACAAGGAGCCGUUUUCACGAACAAGCCAUACACGUUGUCACAGUACUGUCUCUAACACGACUGUACUUAGAAGAACACGUAACAGCUUCCUUAUUAAAUCAUUUACUGCUGCAUCAUUUACUCUCGAAUUCAAAAUCUGACUUGAUGUUCCAGAAGCAGCGUGAAUGUUAGUAUAUCCUAAGCAUGAAAUUUUCAUUUUUGUUAAAGUCCUAGACCCUCAGCAAAUAGAUCGAGUAGGGACAUGUCCCCUACUGUAGCAAAUUGACAUGUAGCUCAUAGGCUUACUUUCAACUUACUCGACUUUGAUCCAUGGUCUUAUGCUACCUCAGGACCUGUUAAGUACAAUACCCUUUGCAGAUUACUUCUUACUCGAAACAGGUAAUGGUUAAACGAAUAUACUAGCUUGCUUACAAACGUCCAAGAUGUUACAAAUGUCGCACUGUUUUCAGACAGUUUUAGAUGGUGUUUCUGUUAUUUCUCAUCUUUCACAGACAAGGUUUCACAAUCACAUUCAAUCGACAUACCCACAAGCGAUGUAGACACGACAACAAGCCACAAUUUUUGUCCCACUAAUCACCACUAUAAUUAGUUUAUAACUCAUUACUUCAGCAAAUCACACACUAACUAUCACGCAAGAGGAGCCACACUUGGCCUUGUAAGUAUGAAACGCCAACUUGAAAAAGUAAAAUGGCUACCCGGGAAUGAGGUAUGAAAUAAAAGCUACAUGUACAGAUAAAUCAAAUAUUUGACCAGAGGAUCCUUGAACACCUGCUUUCCGCAAGGAAAGGAAAAACUAGGCAAUGUCAAUAGCACUCGUACUCCUUAUCACACACAUCUCUUAAGGGGAAAAAACAUGUUAUACGGAAAAUGCGAAGUGCAGGAUCCGCUUAUCACAUCCAGUUCCUUUGAGUGUAGCAACUCUAUCAUGAGUGCAAAAGUUCAACAUAUUUACAACCCGCACUUCCAACCGAGAGGUUGUGAGUUCGAGUCUCUCCAAGAGCAAGGUGGGAAGUUCUUGGAGNNNNNN
rnacentral:lncRNA from 1 species